UUGUUUGUAAAAAUUAUACUUGGAAUAUGACUAUUAAUCUCAAGUGUCUUAUUUGUUUUCAAAUUUAGACUUGAAAUUAUUAGUUUAGAAAUUAUAAAAUGACUUAAUAGUCUUUAGAUUGUAAUUAUAAUCUCGAGAUUAUAAUCCUAGAAUUAAUAUUCUUAAUAUUAUAAUCCCAUAGAUUAUAAUCCCAGAAUUAUAAUUCUUUCAAACAGAUAUAAUCUUAAAAUAUUGAUCUCAUGCUUUCAAAUUCAAUUACAACAUUAAUUAAAUUACUAAAAUGGUCUUCCAUAUAUGUAAAAUGGGGAUUUAUAUUUUUAUUAGAAAAAAAUGUUAUUUUUAUAGUCUUUUUUAUAUUUGCCGUAUAUUAUGGGAAAGAAUUCAUCAUUAUAUUAGAUCAUGAUAUUUUCACGAUGAAUAUAUCAGUUUUUCAAUAGUACUCUCUUUUUUUAAAUAUGUGACGUUUAAGAUUUUUAUAAAUGGAUGAAGUUAUAACUCUUAAAAUUAUUCCAUUAAAAUUAUGAUGUAUUAUCAAAACCACCCUUACAUAGAUAAAUGAAAAGUUAAACUGUAAGUGAUAAAGAUAAUAGAGACAUAUUAUUAGAGGAUAGAGAAAAUAUAGGAAUUAAAGAAAGUAUACGAAUAAGAUAUUAGAAGAGAGAAAAAAAGUAGCUUUAACAAAAUAGGAGAGAAUUAAAGAGAGUAUUAAAUAUUUAUAGGUAAUUAAGAAAAGGCUUAAAUAUGAUUUACUACCCUAAAUUAUAGGUCAUAUUCCAUUUCGGUGAUCCACCUUUCAAUUUUGUCAAUUAGGUGAUUGAACUAUCAAUUUUUUUCGAUUUCAUUCAAUUGGGCCUGCCACGUCAGAAAUUGCUGACGUGGCAUCCUAAUAGACAGCAGGAGUGCUUAUGUGUAAAAACAUUAUAUAUUUUUAAUGAGAUCAAAGGACAAAAAGGUAAAAUAACAAAUAAAACAACUCAAAAUUACACAAACAAUAUAAAUUAGUUGUAUAAUUAUUUAUUUAUAGUUAUAUAAAUAAUAUAAUAAUUAUUUUUAUUAAAAAUAAUUAUUUUUAUUAAAAAAAUUGGGUUUUAUUAAUUUUUUGUUAAAAAAAUUGUGUUUAAUAUUAAUGAUAAUAAAAAUAAAAAUAAAAUGCAAUUUUUUUUGGAUAAAAAAAUGCUGUUUUUUUGUAAUAAUAAAAAAAAUGCUGUUUUUUUAAUAAAAAAAACGCAGUUGGUUUUUUUUUAAUAAAAAUAAUUAUUAAAAAUAAUAAUUAAAAAUAAAAAUGCAGUUGCUUUAUUUUUAAAAAAAACGCAGUUGGUUGGUUUUUUUUUAAUAAAAUAAUUAUUAUUUUUUUUAUUAAAAAAACUGCACUUUUAUUUUUAUUUUUAUUAUCAUUAAUAUUAAACACAAUUUUUUUUUAUAAAAAAAAUUAAAAAAUGCAAUUUUUUUAAUAAAAAUAAUUAUUAUAUUAUUUAUAUAAUAAUUUAUAUUAUUUAUAUAACUAUAAAUAAAUAAUUAUACAACUAAUUUAUAUUAUUUGUGUAAUUUUUAGUUGUUUUAUUUGUUAUUUUACCUUUUUAUCCUUUGAUUUCAUUAAAAAUAUAUAAUAUUUUUACAUAUAAGCAUUCCUGCUGCCUAUUAGGAUGUCACGCCAGCAAUUUCUGACGUAGCAGACCCAAUUAAAUGAAAUAAAAAAAAAUUGAUAGUUCAAUCACCUAAUUGACAAAAUUGAAAGGUGGAUCACCGAAGUGAAAUAUGGCCUAUAGUUUAGGGUAGUAAAUCAUAUUUAAGCCUUAAGAAAAUAAUAUAAUCAAUUCUCCUAUAAAUCUUAGAAAGUUAUAUAUUUAGGAACUAAAGAACUAUCCUAAAACGUCAAUUAAGGAAUGGAGGGAGAACAAGUAACAAGUAUAUAUAUUCUCUUCUUUGACUUCCAAGUUCAAACUUUUUGGCUAACAUUUAGGGGAAAAUCUCUUGAAUGCAUCAGAUUGAUGAGUAAAAUGGCACGGAAAUACCCUUACAUUUUCAACAAAAAAUAAAAAAAUAACAACUAUAUCCGCUACGUACUACUCCCUUCGUCCCUUAAUAUAUGAUAUUUUAGAGUUGGGUACAAUCAUUACCAUUUAGGAAAUGAUUGUAUAACAUUAAAUAUAGUAUUAUUUGUCUAUAAUAUCGACCCUUUAUAUUGAUAAGGAGAGAGAAAGAGUUAAAAGCAUCGGGGUAUUGAAGGAGGAGUAAUGAGAGGUAAUUUUGAAAAGAUUGUAAUUAAUGCUUCUAGAUUUUCUAAAAUAGCAAAUAAUUUAUGACAAAUAAAAUUACUUAAAACAUCAUAUAUUAUGGGACGGAAGAAAUACUAUCUUGUCUAAUCUAAAAAAAUCUUAUUUAAUUUAAUGUUUUUAGUCAAUACAAUUAAAUGCACUAUGAAUCAAAUUUAUUAAUUACACAAAUGCUUCCAAUUUGUUCUCCUAUAUAAAGAAGAACUAUUUUAAGGCAGAGACCAGAGAGAACCAACAAUAAGACUCUAUAUUCCAUAUAGUGAGGUGAGCUUAUCUACAAAACAAUGGCACCUUCGAGGCUUCUUCUCUGCUACAUUUUUUUGAUUUUGUUCUCUAUUUCUUAUCAUCAGUCGGAGACAACAGUUAAACGGAUUCCCGCCCUUUACGACGUUGCUAUUUCUGAAAAAGAUUUCAUAGAUGGUAAGCUAACGGAAAAAUUUAGUAUGUUUUAAGGUCCAAAUGGUAAGACCCCAAUUUUUUAUGAAUAAAGAUUCAAUUUCUCUAAAUAUUAUUUUUGAAUAAUAAGGUGUUGAUUUGAUAUAAUGUUGUAGUUAUGGGUAAAAUAAGCAAAUUUUGCAAAGUAAGCAAGUGGUCAUAAAAUAUUCGUUUUGUCAGGAAAUAUUCGUUUUAGUCGGAAGAUAUUCUUUUUGUUGGGAAUAUUCGUACGAUGACACAAUCAUUGGUGGACCACAUAACGAAAUAAUUGUCGGACAGAAAUAACCUUUUUAUAAAAAUAACAGCAAAACUUUUACCGUUAAAAACUAUUGAAAUAAUCGGUGAUAAAAGUACAGUAAUACGUGUGGUUGCACAGUGGCAUACGGUAUUACACAGUAUCUCUAAUUAUUGAUUCUUACGUAAGAAGUCACUCAAUAAUUAAUACAGUAAAAUUGCACAGUCUUUCAUAUUAUUGAUGCAAUAAUUGCUACAGUGAUAAUUGAAUAGUAUUUUACAUUAUUGAUUCAAUAAUUGUCAUGACACAGUAACUCAUAUUAUUGAAAUGAUAUUAUUAGAUAGCAUUAUUGAUAAUGUCUAGAAAGUUAUGUCGAGGAAAGAGGUUAGGUCAUAUAAUUGCGCGUCAGUAAUGAGAAAUCAUUAUCGGAAUGUCUCCUAUUUCCUGAGAACGAUCUGGUUGUCAAUAUUAUGAUCCUAUAAUAUUAAUUAGGAAUAAUUAUUGAAAGAUUAUAGAGUUAUAAAUAAUUGAUGAAUAAAUAAAAAAAAAUAUUGAUAAAUAUGAUAAGUAAAUAUUUGUUUAAUUUGAUAUAAUGGAGGAAUUUUAGCAUGAGAUAUUUGUUUAAAGUUUGGCGUAUUAAUUUUUCUGCGGAUCCAUAAUUAUCUUCUCUGAUAAAAUAUUCAUUAAAACAUAUUAUUAUAAUAUAUUAUAAUGGUAUAAUUUUAUAAAUUAUAAUUGUUUAAAUAGUAAAACAUGUGAAAAUGAUGGAAGUGAGAAGCUUGGUUUUGAAAACCAUAUUUUCAAAACAAGUAGGCUGCAAAAUUCCUCCGUAGGCAAAAUUUGUUAGAAGUGGUGUGCUACCACUUUCCUAUAAAUAGGCUGCUUAGUUAAACAAUGAAAGUCACACCAGAAUCAGAAAAUUCUCUCUCUAUAAUAUCGAGCGUAUUUCUUGUGAGUGUAAAGAUACUUUGAGUGUAACUUUUUGUGCAAGAUUUUCUCAGAAUAAUAUCUGAUAUUCCAAUCAAAUCCAAUUUCUACUAAGGUAAAGGAUAUUUUUUUUUUCGUAAAGGAGGUUAUUUUCUUUCAAUACUCGUAAAUAAUAUUAUUUCCUUCCAUAUUCAUAAGGAAUAUCAUAUUCUUUCAUACUCCAUAUUACAUGAGCGAUAUUAUUUCAUCUCGUAUUCCUAAAUUUAAACUUAAUAUGGUAAGUAUUGUUUUUAUAAUUCCUGAAAUGAUUAGAAAUUUCGCUUCAUCUAAUAUCAUUUCACUGGAAUAUUGGUCUGAACUUUCUUAUUAAAUUUGAAACUUUUCAUGUCUGAGUACUGUUCAUACGGUACUGUUCAUACAUACGGUACUAUUCACGAGUACUGUUCACAAAAAAAAAAUUCUUCCUUCUCCAAGUUAUCUGUUGUGACCCUUAUUCUUGAAAUUGAAUCCAUGUUAUGGUCUCACUUGAUUCAUUCUUAUUAUCAUUAUCAUAAUUCUCAGACUUAAAUUAUGUUGAAGUUAUCUUUGGCCCGUAGUGCAAAGAUGAACUGUUGAUUGAUAUCUUUGGCCUAUAGUGCAAAGAUGGACAGAUGUUUGGCAUGAUCACGACCACCGGUGAUACAAAUGAUUAUAUUUGGCCCGUAGUGCAUAGAUAAUUCGUUGAUUGGAAAUAAAUAUUGAUUGAUGUUACAGGGAUAAAAUAUUGAUGAUGGACUUUUAAAUCAUGAAAGAUAGUAGACAUUAUGCUCUACUUGACUCUUCUAAUGGAUUGUUGUUUCCACUGCAGUUGUUGAUCUAAAACUUGUUGUCUAUUGUAUUCUAUCAGAUAUUUCCCUGUUGAGGACUAAGGAUAAUUUAUUCUAUAUUAUCUUAGUCAUAAUAUUCUUUACUGGGCUAGUUGAGCUCAUCAUUUUCCUGUUUGUUCCAUUUUUCUUCUCAGGAGGCAAGAAUAUAGCUGGGAUUAGUCGGGGUGUGGAGUGAUGGUUCAAGGCGAUUUUUUUAGCAGUCCUCACUAAUUUAUAAAAUAGUGUAUCAAUAAUUGUAAUGAAGACUUUAUUUGAGUUUGGAUAUUGUCUACAAGAUAAUAUUUGUAUUAAAACUCACAACAUAUGUGUUCUCGUAUUUUGCAUGACAAUUAUAAUAAUGAAGUUUGUAGUUGUUUUCUGUACCAUGUAUUUGGCGACUCAGAAUGGGUUGUGUGGACCGAUUUUGGGGGCGUCACAGUUGGUAUCAGAGCUUAGGGAUAUGAUCUCUGGUGGAGAUCUGGGAUUAGAACUAGGAGCGGAGAGACGAGUAAAUCCUUCGCUAGUGUGUCUUACCUAAGCUUAUUUGUUUGGUUGGUCAGAAUAUAGGGAUAUUAUGUUGCAUGUCAAUUUCUUUAAUUAACUCUUAUUUUAUGGCAGUAUUUGAGAAUGACAUUUAAAAAUUCUUAUAUAAGCAAUGGAACACAUGACACCGUUGAGACACCGACAAUCAACAACCAGGAUAAUGUGCAUCAGGAAGGCAAUAAUCCUCCUAUAAACAACAACACCAACCAAAUGAUGAAUGAUAAGAUGUUUAGGAGCUUUCUACAAUCAUGCAAAACCAGACGAGAGAGACUCUUGUUCAAAAUGCAAGUGGAAACAAUGGUAACUCACGGCUUGUCACUGCCAAGCAAUUCAAGGAGUUGGGACCGUCGGAGUUUUUGGAAAAGCCAGAGCCACUUAAGGCAGAGGCAUGGAUUAAACAGAUUACCAAGAUAUUUGAUGUCUUGGGAUGCACUGAAGAGAAAAAGGUUACUUUUAUCACCUUCAUGUUCCGCGGAGAAGCAGAUUACUGGUGAGAAUCUGUAAAACGUAUCCAUCCGUUCGCACUUAAGAUGUCUUGGGAGAAGUUCCAAGAAUUAUUCAACGACGAGUACUUUCCAAAAAGUAUUCGUCACAUGAAGGAGGUGGAAUUUAUCAAACUAGAGCAAAAAAAUAUGACUGUGUCGCAAUACGAAGCCAAGUUUGCGGAGUUAUCUUGGUUUGCAUCCCAUUUGGUAGAUAAUGAAGAGCGAAUAACGUGAAUGUUUUUGAGAGGUUUGAAACCCAAAAUUUGUCAACAUCUUAUCUCUCAUAAACUUUGUUUGUAUUCAGAUUUAGUGAAUAGUGCUAAGUUAUUGGAGCGGGAUUAUGAGUCAGCUCAACCAAAAGACAGCAAUCGGCAGCACGCUAAUAGUCAUACCAGUGGCAACAAUCAUCGAAGCAGUGAUAACCAACGUACCAGAAAUGGUAAUCACUUCGGUGGUAAUCAUGGCCAAGAUAAUAGGAAAGCUAAGUCAAGUGAAAAUUUCAAAAAGAGGAGAUUCAACAAUGACGGGAAGACACCGGUAGCAGCACCAGCACCAACAAAAAAUUCUAGUGGAGGAGAACGACCACCAGUUAGAUGCUACAAAUGCGGAGAUGAGGGACACAUAAGUCCAAACUGUUCACAGCCUUCCAAGGUGUGUUUCUGUUGUGGAAAAGAUGGUCAUAUAGCCCGAUUUUGUCUGGUAGCAAAGUCAAAUCCAACUGGGACGGUGGCACCAAAGGCGACUAUGGACAAAACAAAAUCGAUAGUUUAAGGGAGAGCGCUUACAUGACGAGGAAUCCGAACGAAGUUAUCAUGGGUAAGUUAAUCAUAAACUCUUGCGAAGUCUAUACCUUAUUCAAUACCGGUUCUACCCACUCUUUUAUUUCACCUACUCGCACUCAAUGUUUAAAUUUAACUCUGAAGAAAUUAGACUUUGACUUAUUUGUUAAAAUUCUGUUGGGAGAAACCUUCAUUACAUCUACUGUUUAUAAAUCUUGUUUAAUUCAAAUCGGUCACGGCAUGUUAUCUGUCGAUCUUAUCUCUUUAAAAAUACUUGCAUUCGAUGUGAUUUUAGGAAUUGAUUGGUUGACUACUCAUCAUGCUAAAAUUAAUUAUUUUCGUAAGGUUGUUAGCUUUCAUAUUCCUAACCAACCUAUUAUGCGAAUUCAAGCAACCAAACCACUAAAGUCAAUCACUGUCAUAUCAAGCCAUAAAGCCAUUCGUUUAUUGAAAAAUGGAUGGUAAGAUUUCUUAGCCCAUGUCAUGGAUUUAAACAAAAAAUACGUUAAAUUUGAAUGAUAUUUCUAUUGUUAGUGAAUUUCCUGGCGUAUUUCUUGAAGAACUUCCUGGCCUACCCCAAGAGCGUGAAAUCAAAUUUUGUAUUGACAUUGAACCCGAUACAAAACCCUUAAAUAUUUCUUCACCCAAAAUGAACGUAAUAUGCGUCAAAGACGUUGACUUGAGCUGUUGAGAGAUUACGACCAUACCAUUCAAUACCAUCUUAGAAAAGUGAAUGUGGUAGUUGACGCGUUGAGUAGAAGAUCGUAUGCAGUUACGAGUGCGACGUUAUUAACACAAAGACCCAUUUCGUACGACUUACAAAAGAUGGAGAUAGAGUUAAAGACUCCAAGAACCUACAUAAAGAUAGCGAAUAUAUGAAUAGAACUGACUUUAAUCGAUAAAGUUAAAGCUACUCAAGCUACAGACCUAGAACUGAUGUGUAUAAAGAAGAAAGUACAAGAAGGUGCUAUUCCAGAAGCAAGAAUCGAUGAAGAAGGAAUACUUCGAGUCAACUCUAGACUUUGUGUUCCUAACGACUCUGAUUUGAAGUACAAAAUCAUGAUGGAGGAACACAACACAUCGUUUGCAAUCCAUCCUGGAAGUACCAUAAUGUAUCGUCAUCUUCGACAUAAAUUUUGGUGGAGAAAAAUGAAGAGAGAGAUCGCGGAGUUUAUCUCAAGAUGUUUAACUUUUCAACGUGUCAAGGCGGAGCAUUAAGUACCAAAAGGUUCAUUGCAACCGCUUGAAAUUCCAGAAUGGAAGUGGGAGCACAUCAACAUGGAUUUUGUUACUGGUCUUCCCAAGGUUUCUCAAGGCAUAGAUGCAAUUUGGGUCAUUGUCGAUAGAUUAACCAAGUCUUCUCAUUUCUUGCCUAUACGAGAAACUUAUUCACUUGAACAUCUUGCUUGUAUGUACAUAAAUGAGAUUGUGAGAUUGCAUGGUAUGCCAAUAUCCAUAGUUUCUGAUCGAGACCCAAUAUUCACUUCACGAUUUUGGGUCAGUUUGUAAAAAGCUAUGAGCAAUGAUUUACGAUUCAGUUCUGUAUAUCAUCCUCAAACGGACAGGCAAUCAAAAAGGACUAUUCAAACUCUUGAAGAUCUAUUGAGACUCUGCGUUCUAGACUUCAAAGGAAGUUAGGACAAGUACUUGCCAUUGGUGGAAUUCUCCUACAACAACAGUUAUCAAGUAAGUAUAGGCAUCGCUCCAUUUGAAGCGUUGUAUGGAUGAAAGUGCCGCUCUCCAGUAUGUUGGGACGAGGUGGGUAAAGCAACAUUGUUGGGUCUAGAGUUGGUACGCAUGACUAUGGAAAAGAUUCAAAUGAUCCGACAACGUAUACAAACCUCACAAGAUCGACAAAAGAGUUAUGCUGAUCUUCAUCGAAGGGACGUGGAAUUCAAUAUUGGGGAUAAUGUAUUGUUACGUGUUGCUCCAUGGAAAGGAGUUACGAGAUUUGAAAAGAGAGGAAAGCUCAAUCCUCGAUUUAUUGGUCCAUUUGAAAUCCUCGAUCGAGUAGGAACUAUGGCCUAUAGACUCACUUUACUGCCAAAUAUGUCUCGUGUUCAUAACGUUUUCCACAUAUCCAUGCUACGUAAAUAUGUGAAAGACCCGAACCACAUUAUUGAGUUAGAACCAGACGAGAUAACAGAAGAUUUAACGUAUGAAGAGGUACAUGUUAAAAUCUUGGAUAAGAAUGAACAUAUUUUACGCUCAAAGGUUAUACCUUAAGUCAAAGUUUUAUGGAGAAACCAUGAUAUUGAGGAAAUGACCUGGGAGUUAGAGUCGGAAAUAAAAACAAGGUAUCCUUACCUUUUCGACAUACCAUGUACGUACAUCAAUUUCGAGGAUAAAAUUUCAUAAGGAGGGGAGGUUGUAAGAUGUGACGCCCCCAUAAUAAGUAUACAUCACCUAUUCUGAGUCGCCAAAUACAUGGUACAGAAUACAACUACAACUUAAUAAUACAACUGUCGUGCAGAAUACGACAAAACAUAAGCUGUGAGUUUUAAUACAAAUAUUGUCUCCUAGACAAUAUCCAAACUCAAAUUCAAUCUUAUUACAAUUAUUAUCACACUAUUUCACAGAAUAGUGAGGACUACUAUAGCCACCAUCUGGACCGUCAAUCCAUUCCCCGACUAGUCUCAGCUAUAUUCUCAUUUCAUGAAGAGAACAGUGAAAGAAAAUGGUGAGCUUAACUAGCCCAAUAAGAAAUAUUAUAACUAAGAUAAUGCAGAAUAAAUUAUCCUUAGCCUUCAACAGUAUAACAACUGAUAGAAUACAAUAGACAACAAGUUUUAGAUCAACAACUGUAGUGGAAUAAGCAAUCCAUUAGAAGAGUCAAAUAGAGCAUGAUAUCUACUAUCUUCUAUGAUUUAAAAGUUUAUCAUCAAUUUAAGUGCUGAGACUCAGCUUAAUAAAUAAUCCACAUUAUCAAAUCACCCCUGCACUACAGCCAAGGAUAUUCAUUAGUAUCACGACCACGAAUUAUCCAUGCACUAUGGGACAAGGAUAUUCAUGUUUUCACCAAUGGUCAUGAACAUGCCAGACAAUUAUUCAUCUUGGCAACCUUGGCUGAAGAGAACACAUGGUCGUGAUCAUACCAAUAACUGUCGCUGAGACUCAGCUCAAUAAAUAAUCCACAUCACUUAUAACAUUACGGUCAUGAUUAUACCGAAUAAUCCUUGGUCAUAAUCAUACCAAUCAACAGUCCAUCUAUGCACAACAACCAAUGAUGACUUUCAUCACAAUAUAAGCAUGAGGAUGAUGACAAUGAUAUAAGAAUUCAAUUAAAUGAAAGCAAGGAUAAAUUUUAAAAAUCUAUAAUUUAAUUUAUCCAGAAUUCAAUAAUAUCCAAAUUGUCAACAUGAUACUGCUUUGUGGGGAAAAAUUCAAGAAUAAUAUUUUAUCAAAAAUGAUUUGGACCGAAAAGAAAUCAAUUUUUGUCAUGAAUAGUACUUUGGGUGAAUAGUACCCGAGUAAAUAGUACCCCGUAAAUAGUACUUUAGAAAUAAUACUUCAUGAAUAGUACUUUGUGAAUAGUACUUUAUAAAUAGUACCUUAUGAAUAGUACUUUAUGAAUAGUACCGUAUUUAUGGAUAGUACUAUAUUUAUGAAUAGUACCCAUAAAUAGUACUCUGUGAAUAGUACCGUACGUAUGAAUAGUUCUGUAUAAAUGAAUAGUACCCAUGAUUAGUACUCCGGCAUAAAAAGCUUAAAAUUUAACAAGAAUGUUCAGAAAAAUAUCCUUGUGAAAUGAUACUAGAUGAAGCGCAAAUUUCAAGGAUAUUUUACUAAUUUCACGAAGUAUAGAAACAAUACUUCAACAAAAUGAGUGUAGAAUUAGGGAUACAAAAUAAAAUAAUAUUACUUACAUACUACAAAGUAUGGAAGAAAAUAUUAUUUCAUACGAAUAUUGAACAAAAAUAAUAUCCCUUACGAAUACGAAAGAAAUAAUACCCCUUACGAAUAAGAAAUAAAUAACAUCCCUUACGUACAUACCACAGAGUAUGGAAGAAAAUAUUAUUUCAUACGAAUAUUGAACAAAAAUAAUAUCCCUUACGAAUACGAAAGAAAUAAUACCCCUUACGAAUAAGAAAUAAAUAACAUCCCUUACGUACAUACCACAGAGUAUGGAAGAAAAUAUUAUUUCAUACGAAUACUGAACAAAAUAAUAUCCCUUACGAAUAUUCUUGAAAUUUGCGCUUCAUUUAGUACGUUUUACAAGGAUAUUUUUCUAAACAUUCUGGUUAAAUUUUAAGCUUUUUAUGCCAAAAUACUAUUCAUGGGUACUAUUCAUUUAUACGACACUAUUUAUAUAUAUGGUACUAUUCAUAGAGUACUAUUCAUGAGCACUAUUCAUAAAUACAGUACUAUUCAUAAGUACGAUAAUAUUCAUAAAGUACUAUUCACGGGGUACUAUUCACAAAGUACUAUUCAUAAAGUACUAUUCAUGAAGUAUUAUUCUCGAAGUACUAUUCACGGGAUACUAUUUACUCAGGUAAUAUUCACCCAAAGUACUAUUCAUGACAAAAAUUGAUUUCUUUUCUGUCCAAAUCAUUUUUGAUAAAAUAUUAUUCUUGAAUUUUACCCCACAAAGUAGUAUCAUGUUGACAAUUUGGAUAUUAUUGAAUUUUGGAUAAAUUAAAUUAUAGAUCUUUAAAAUUUAUCCUUGCUUUCAUUUAAUUGAAUUCUUAUAUCAUUGUCAUCAUCCUCAUACUUAUAUUGUGAUGAAAGUCAUCUUUGGUCGUUGUACAUAGAUGGACUGUUGAUUGGUAUGAUUAUGACCAGGGAUUAUUCGGUAUAAUCAUGACCGUAAUGUUACAAGUGAUGUGGAUUAUUUAUUGAGCUGAGUCUCAGCGACAGUUAUUGGUAUGAUCAUGACCAUGCGUUCUCUUCGGCCAAGGGUGCAAAGAUGAAUUAUUGUUUGGCAUAUUUAUGACCAUUGGUGAAAAUAUGAAUAUUCUUGGCUCGUAGUGCAUGGAUAAUUCGUGAUCGUGAUACUAAUGAAUAUCCUUGGCCGUAGUGCAUGGAUAAUUUGAUGAUGUGGAUUAUUUAUUAAGUUGAGUCUCAGCGAUAAAAUUGAUGAUUAACUUUUAAAUCAUAGAAGAUAGUAGAUAUCAUGCUCUACUUGACUCUUCUAAUGGAUUGCUUAUUUCGCUGCAGCUGUUGAUCUAAAACUUGUUGUCUAUUGUAUUAUAUCAGUUGUUAUACUGUUGAAUGCUAAGGAUAAUUUAUUCUGAAUUAUCUUAGUCAUAAUAUUUCUUACUGGGCUAGUUGAGUUCACCCUUUUCCUUCAUUGUCCUCUUUAGGAAAUGAGAAUAUAGCUGGGACGAGUCGGGGAAUGGAGUGAUGGUCCAGGAUAAGUGGCUAUAGUAGUGCUCACUAUUCUAUAAAAUAUUUUGAAAAUAAUUGUAAUGAGGACUCCAUUAAGUGGGGAUAUUGUCUAGAAGAUAAUAUUCGUGUUAAAACUCUCAGCUAUGUUUUGUCGUAUUCUACGUGACGGAUGUAUAAUUAAGUUUGUAGUUGUAUUCUGUACCAUAUAUUUGGCGACCCAAGAUGGGUGAUGUAUAUAUUUUGGGGGCGUCACAUGGUGUGCUACCACUUUCCUAUAAAUAGGCUGCUUAGUUAAACAAUGAAACUCACACCAGAAUCAGAAAAUUCUCUCUCAAUAAUAUCGAGCGUAUUUCUUGUGAGUAUAAGGAUACUUUGAGUGUAGCUUUUUGUGCAAGAUUUUCUCAGAAUAAUAUCUGAUAUUCCAAUCAAAUCUAUUUUCUAUUAAGGUAAAGGAUAUUAUUUUUUUUCGUAAAUGAGGUUAUUUUCUUUCAAUACUCGUAAAUGAUAUUAUUUCCUUCCAUAUUCGUAAGGAAUAUCAUUUUCUUUCAUACUCCAUAUUACGUAAGCGAUAUUAUUUCAUCUCGUAUUCCUAAAUUUAAACUUAGUAUGGUAAGUAUUAUUUUUAUAAUUCCUGAAAUGAUUAGAAAUGAACUGUUGAUUGAUGAAUAUCUUUGACCCGUAGUGCAAAGAUGAACUGUUGAUUGAUGAAUAUCUUUGGCCCGUAGUGCAAAGAUGAACUGUUGAUUGAUAUCUUUGGCCCGUAGUGCAAAGAUGAACUGUUGAUUGAUGAAUAUCUUUGGCCCGUAGUGCAAAGAUGAACUGUUGAUUGAUAUCUUUGGCCCGUAGUGCAAAGAUGGAUAGAUGUUUGGCAUGAUCACGACCACCGGUGAUACAAACAAUUAUAUUUGGCCCGUAGUGCAUAGAUAAUUCGUUGAUUGGAAAUAAAUAUUGAUUAAUGUUACAGGGAUAAAAUAUUGAUGAUUGACUUUUAAAUCAUGAAAAAACAAAACUUAUAAUAAUAAUAAUAAUAAUAAUAAUAAUGAUGAUGAUGUUAACUCCCCCGUGACCAAUUCCCCUCCCCCCAUGACAAAGUUUAUAUAUAUAUAUAUAUAUAUAUAUUUAAAACAAAUAACUGAAAUAAUUUCUACUGAUAAUUUUGAAAAAUAGGUAAGUGGGGGUCCAUAUAAUCAGCCAAAUUUACAACAAAUAUGUAAGACCUCGAAUUUUAUGAAAUGAAAGUAUUCAAUUUUUUUAUAAUUAUUAUUAUAUUUAGUAAGUGGUUAAAUUGAUAAAAGGUUAAAGUUAAGGGUGUUAUGUGAAAAUUUUAUAAAGUAAGCAAGUUGAUAUAAAAUAUUCAUUUUAUGUCGGGUAAUAUUCGUUUGAUCGGGAAAUAUCCGUACGACGACACAAUCAUUGGUGGACCCCACAAUGGAAUAAAUGUCAGAUAUAGAAAGCGACAGAAAUAACCUUUUUAUAAAAAUAAUUAACGACAAAACUUUUACCGUUAAACUGUUGAAAUAUCCGGUGAUAAAAGUACAGUAAUACGUGUGAUUGCACAGCAGCACACGGUGCACAGUAUCUGUGAUUAUUAAUGCUUAUGUAAGAAGUCACUCAGUUUUAUUCAAUUAUUGCAACAGUAGUUCAUGCAUAGUAUAUCAUAUUAUUGAUUCAAUUAUUGUCACGGUAUCAUUUGCAUAAUAUUUUAUAUUAUUAAAUCAAUAAUUGAGACAACACAUUUAUUCAUAUGAUUAUUUAUAUUAUAGACAAUGUCUAGAAAGUUCUGUCGAGGAAAGGGGUUAGGUCAUCUAAUUGUGCGCCAAUAAGGAGAAAUCUUUAUCAGAAAGCCUCUUCUUUCCUGGGUUAUAAUCCGGUUGUCAAUAUUGUAAGUUAUAAUAUUAAUGAUGAAUAAUUGUUGAAAUAUUAAAAAUAUGUUUAUUAAAGAUAAGUGAAUUACAAAAGUUAAAGGGGAAUAAUGAAAACUUAAAAAACUUUAGGGGUACCAAAGUGUAAUAAGUAAAUCAAUAUGAACCGCAGGUGGUGGUUUUAAUAGUAAAUCAAUCUGGACCGUCGGUGGUGGUUUUAAUAGUAAAUCAAUCUGGACCGUUGGUGGUGAUUUUAAUAGUAAAUCAAUAGGGACCGUCGGUUGUGGUUUUAAUAGUAAAUCAAUAUGGACCUUCCGUUUUAAUAGUAAAUCAAUCUGGACCAAUUCAGUCCAUCCGUGAAUUAAUUACUAUUUAGUCCAUUUUCCUAUAAAUAAAACCUUAGUUCUUCUUUCAUUCUCACCAAUUCAUUAAGACUCACAAGAGUAUCGGUAGAGAGAGAAACUAUAGAGAGAAAGAAAAAGAGUAUUCUGCCACAUCACUAUUGUAGUAUUCAGUCUUCUACUAAAGUAAGGAGUAUUAUUUUUUUUCAUAUUCUUAAAUCUAAACUUACUAUGGUAAGUAUUGCUUCUAUAAUCCCUGAAAUUAGUAGAAUAUCCUUGAGUUUUACGCUUCAUCUAGUAUCGUUUCAUUGAAAUAUUGGUCUGAACUUUCUUAUUAAAAUUUAAUAUUUUUACUCGGGAUACUAUUCACGAGUUACUAUUUACUCGGGUACUAUUUACUCGAAGAUUUGGGGUACUUUUCAUGUCGGGGUACUAUUCACUCGGGGAUUCGGGGUACUAUUCACUGGAUAUUAUUCACAAAGUACUAUUCAUGAAUACUAUUCACCCGGGGUACUAUUAACGACAAAAAAAUUGAUUUCUUUUAUGUUUAAAUUAUUUUUGAUACAUGAAUAUUAUUCUUGAAUCUUAUUCCACAAAGCAGUUAUCAUGUUGAAAAUUUAGACAUUCUUGAACUCUAGAUAAAUUGAAGUAUAAAUCUCUACACUACAAAAAAAUGGUGAUUUUGUAACAAAUAAUUUUCAUUGCAAAAUGUGCGAAAUUUCGUUGCCAUUUGCAAUGAUUUUUCGGUCGUUGGACAUUUUGUUGCCCAAUGAGCGUUGCUAAUUUGUCUAGCAAUGAUUUUUUUUCGUUGCAGAAAGUAAUAUAUUUCGCAGUGAAAUUUUGUUUUCGUGUAAAAUCAUAAAUCAUUUAGCAACGAAAUAUUUUGUAGCAAAUUUAUUAAGAAAUUAUUACUGAAAAAUAAUUUUCGUUGCAAAAUACGCCUAAUUGGCAACGAAAAGAAUCUUUUUAUUUUCCAACAAAGAUAAAAUUCGUUGCAUUUAAUACACAUUUGCCAACGAAGUCUUCCGUUACUGAGCAAUAUAGAAAUUGUUGCCUUAAUUGGUUUUCGUUGCUAAUUGUGUACUUUUUGGUAACGAUGUUUGUUGCUAAAUGUACAAAAUAAACCAGUUAUAUAUUAAUUUGUAACAAAAUUUUGCAUUGUCGUUGAUUUUUUUAUGGAUAAUUAUGAUGAAUUAGUAACAAUACUAUUCGAAGGUGAUUGUUUUUAGAGAGCAACAUAAGUUAUUGUCAAUUAAAAAUGACACUAUACGUUAUCGUUUACUUUUCAUGUGCAACGAAAUUUGUUAUGAUUUGUAACAAUAUAAAUAUUGCAUUUUCUUUUGUUAUGUAACAAAUGUCAAAAAAGAAUUAUAAACAAAAAAAUUAUGUCUCAAUAACCUCAUAACAAAUUAUGACUGAAAUACAAAAAAAAACUAAAAUAUUAUUAAUUAAAUAAAAUCACCCGAUACAAGAUCAUUCAUCAUCUUUACAAUCAAACUGCGUACGACUGAAAAACUACAAAGUCCGUCUUAAUUGACACUAUCUGCCAUCAAGAGGUUAACACUAGUGCCAUAUAUGAAGAAAAAAAAUCAAGAAGGAAUGUUUAUAAUAUGAAACAAUACUUAAGCUUACACAAGAGUUUCAACCAUGGUUCAUCCUCUAGGUAUUCCGCCAAUUUUAAAACAGCAUCAUCCACUAUAUACACCAAUAAAGAGGUUAAUUAAGGAAUUUAAAGAUAUAAUUAAGGAAUUUAUAGACCUUUGAAAAUCUCUUGUCCCUCUCACAAUCAAGUCAUUUUACAAAUACAAGUAAAAUUGUGUUCCUCCAAAUUGGUACAAAUCCAGGUAACGAUGUUUAUUGAAUUUAUCAACUAGGGGAACUCAUCCAUAUUUAAAUAGUUUCACUAAUUUAAAUAGCAUUAUGAAUUUAUUUUAAAAAAAAAAUAGGAAGUCAGUCAAAAAAAAGAUGAUAUUAAUUAGACCAUCUAUUCUAUUAGAAAUUAUCUGAAUCGGUAGAAAAAAUCUUGACACGGAUAAUUUUUGGCUUCAAGAUAUUUAUUGUUCCCUAUAAACAAGGAUUUUUAAGGUUUUCAGAGGAUAUACCUCUAAAAUACGUCAAGCAUACAAGGUUUGAAUUUACUGUGAUAACAAAUUCAGAUAAAAGGUGAAUUUUGAUUUGAUUUGAGAUAACACUACUGAAAAAGUUGAAAAUUUUUCGUAGUGUACUCAGACUGUUAUGAUAUGCUUAUGUCAGUACUAAAUAAAACUAAUAAGAUAUCAAUUAUUUAGUCAUAAUACUAGCAGAAAUUCAAAUAAUCCUAUUUUAAUUUUAGGUGCUAUCAGUUUGAGUAUUAGUCCCAAAAAUAUAAACUCAUAGCUCGGGCGAGACUUUUGUCGAUGUCACGCCCAAAGUGCGCCUAAAUCACCUAUAGAACUUUACGACAUCAUGUUAUUAAGACUGUUUCCAAGUAUUCUAUUUAGUAACACAAGUAAAUAAUACUAUUACACAUAUGUUAAAAUAGCAUUAAAUAGUAUUGUUUCCUUUUAGGUCCCAGUUUCAAUUAUCAAGUCAUUUUUGUUUAUCAAAAGAAAAUAAUAAGUUAUGUUCCUCCAAGUUGGCCAUUCUACAAAUGCAAGUAAAAUUACACUAUACAUGAUGACAGGAGAAGUCAUGUGUUCCUCAAAGUUGGCCAUUCUACGAACUUUGAGAACAAAACAAAAAAAAAACUAAUGCAAUAGAAAAAACUGAAAUUAAAAUUAAUUUUCAGUUUUCUAAUUAAGCUUUAGGUACCUGUGAUAUUUCUACAAAAACAUACUGUUGAGAGGCCUCAUGAGCCAAGAGAAGUCCAACAUAGUAAGCUGACACAUAAUUAAGUUACAUAUCAAUUAAUAGUGUGCAGGAGAUAAUAAGCAAUGGAAUGGAGGCACAUACACAUAGAUUAUGGUUAGAUUUUAAAUACCUGCUGAAUAAUUUGUAAGGCCUACUUUAAGUCCAUAUUAAGGCAGCUCAUGUGAAUAUGUUAUUGCAAGUACCAUAUCUCCAGCAAUGCUAGCAGAUACAAUUUGAGUAGUAAUAUCUUUGUUCGUCUAUAACAGAUUUAGGGUUAAACUUGUACAAUAAAGAGUUAAUUGUUGUCACAACCUCAAAAGAAUAAAACUUCAAUGCGGAAAGCAAUUUACAUAUACAAAUUUCAAAUUAAAAUAUCUAAGAAUGGAAUUUCUCAUGCCUAGAAAUCAACAGAUUCUCGAGAAAGACAAAAGUAAACAAAAAAAAUAUUUUUUAUAAAAACGUUAUUGUUUAAGUGUCAUUUUUUUACCGUUUUAUAGUAGUUAUGUAAGACCCCAACUUUUAUGAAUAAAGAAUAAUUUUUUUGAAUUUUUUUUUUUUGAAUAUUAUGGUGUGGAUAUGAUAUAAUGUUAUAGUUGUGAGUAAUAUUUAUAAAUUUUGCAAAGUAAGCAAGUUAUUAUAAAAUAUUCGAUUGGUCGGGGAAUAUUAGUUUUAACAGAGAAUAUUCGUACGACGGCAUAAAUGCACAAUCAUUGGUGGACCCCACAAUGGAAGUAUUGUCAUAAUUAGAAAACGACAGAAAUAUCUUUUUAUAAAAAUAACAGCGAAAUUUUUACCGUUAAACUGUUGAACUACCCGGUGGUAAAAGUACAGUAAUACGUGUGGUUGCAUAGUAGCACACGGUAUUGAUUAUUGAUGAUUAUGUAAGAAGCCACUCAGUUUAUUCAAUUAUUGUUAUAGUAAUUAUUGCAUAGUAUGUCACGUUAUUUGAUUUAAUUAUUGUCAUAGUAUCAUUUGCAUAAUAUUUUAUAUUAUUAAACAAAUAAUUGAGAUAACAAAGUUAAAUAUUAUUAUUUGCAAUAUUGACGAUGUCUAGAAAGUUCUGUCGAGGAGAGGUUGGGUCAACUAGUUGCGCGUCAAUAGGGAGAAAUCUUUAUCGGAAAGCCCCCUCUUUCGUGGGAAUGAUCUGGUUGUUAAAUAUUAUGAGUUAUAAUAUUAAUGAUGAAUAAUUGUUAAUAGAUUAAAAAUGUGUUUAUAAUUUGUGGUAAAUAUUUUUUCAAAUUUUUGAUAUAAAUAUAGGGAUUAUUAUGAGGCGUUUGUUGUAAGUUUGACUUAGUAUUCCAUGGAAAGAUUUACUAAUUUUAUGGACCGUCGAUGGUGGUUUUAAUAAAUAACCAAUCUAGACCAUUGAUGGUGGUUGUAAUAGUAAAUCAAUCUGAACCAUUGAUGGUAGUUUUAAUAGUAAAUCAAUCUGGACCGUCAGUAGUGGUUUUAAAAGUAAAUCAAUUUGGACCGUCGGUGGUGGUUUUAAAAGUAAAUCAAUCUGGACCGUCGGUUGUGGUUUUAAAAGUAAAUCAAUCUGGACCGUCGGUUGUGGUUUUAAUAGUAAUCAAUAUGAACCGUCCGUUCUAAUAGUAAAUCAAUCUCGACCGUUUAUGAAUCAAUUGCUAUUUAGUCCAUUCUCCUAUAAAUAGAAGCUUAAUUCUUCUUUCAUUCUCACCAAUUCAUUGAGAUUCACAAGAGACACUAUAGACACCAGGGACCCAUGUGAUGAUGGCGAAUAUUCGAGUAGAACUGACUUUAAUCAAUAAAGUUAAAGCUGCUCAAGCUACAGACCUGGAGUUGAUGCGUAUGAGGAAGAAAGUGCAAGAAGGUGUUAUUCCGGAAGCAAGAAUCGAUGAAGAAGGAAUACUACGAGUCAACUCCAGACUUUGUGUUCCUAAUGAUUCUCUUGAAGUAUAAAAUCAUGAUGGAGGCGCACAACACACUGUUUCCAAUCCAUCCUGGGAGUACCAAAAUGUAUCGUGAUCUUCGACAUACAUUUUGGUGGAGAAAUAUGAAAAGAGAGAUAGCGGGGUUUAUAUCAAGGUAUCUAACUUGUCAAAGAGUCAAGGCGGAGCAUCAAGUGCCAAAAGGUCCAUUGCAACCACUUGAACUUCCAGAAUGGAAGUGGGAACACAUUACCAUGGAUUUCAUUACUGGUCUUCCCAAGGUUUCUCAAGGCAUAGAUGCGAUUUGGGUUAUUGUUGAUAGAUUGACCAAGUUUACUCAUUUCUUACCGAUGCGAGAAAUCUAUACACUUGAACGUCUUACUCGUAUGUACAUAAACGAGAUUAUAAAAUUGCAUGGUAUGCCAGUAUCCAUAGUUUUUGAUCGAGACCCAAGAUUCACUUCACGAUCUUGGGUUAGUUUGCAAAAAGCUAUGGGCACGGAUUUAUGAUUUAGUUUGGCGUAUCAUCCUCAAACGAACGGGCAGUCGGAGAGUACUAUUCAAACUCUUAAGGAUCUAUUAAGACUCUGUGUCCUUGACUUCAAAGGAAGUUGGGACAAGUUCUUACCAUUUGUGGAGUUUUUCUACAACAACAGUUAUCAAGCAAGUAUUGACAUGGCUCCAUUUGAGGCGUUGUAUGGAAGAAAGUGUCAUUCUCCAGUAAGUUGGGAUGAGGUGGGUGAAGCAACGUUGUUGGGACUGGAGUUGGUACGUAUGACUACAGAAAAGAUUUAAAUGAUCCGACCUCACAAGAUCGACAAAAGAGUUAUGUUGAUCUUCAUCGAAAGGAUGUGGAAUUCAAUAUUGGAGAUCAUGUGUUGUUACGUGUUGCUCCAUGAAAAGGAGUUACGAGAUUUGGAAAGAGAGAAAAGCUCAAUCCUCGAUUCAUUGGCCCAUUUGUAAUCCUCGAUCGAGUAGAAACUGUGGCCUAUAGAAUCGCCUUACCGCCAAGUAUGUCUCGUGUUCAUAACGUUUUUCACAUAUCUAUGUUACGUAAAUAUGUGAAAGACCUGAAAUAUAUUAUUAAAUUAGAACCGGACGAAAUAGUGGAAUAUUUAACGUAUGAAGAGGUACCUAUUAAAAUCUUGGAUAAGAAGGAUCAUAUUCUACGCUCCAAGGUUAUACCUCAAGUCAAAGUUUUAUGGAGAAACCACGAUGUGGAGGAAAAGACCUGGGAGUUAGAAUCUGAAAUGAAAUCAAGGUAUCCUCACCUCUUCGACAUAUCAGGUACGUACCCUAAUUUCGAGGACAACAUUUCAUAAGAAGGGAAGGUUGUAAGACCCCAACUUUUAUGAAUAAAGAAUAAUUUUUCUCAAAAUAUAUUUUUGAAUAUUAUGGUGUGGAUAUGAUAUAAUGUUAUAGUUGUGAGUAAUAUUUAUAAAUUUUGCAAAGUAAGCAAGUUGUUAUAAAAUAUUCGAUUGGUCGGGAAAUAUCCGUUUUAACAGGAAAUAUUCGUGCGACGGCACAAUCAUUGGUGGACCCCACAAUGAAAGUAUUGUCGUAGUUAGAUAACGACAGAGAUAUCUUUUUAUAAAAAUAACGACAAAAGUUUUACCAUUAAACUGUUGAACUACCCAAUGGUAAAAGUACAGUAAUACGUGUGUUGUGUGGUUGCAUAGUAGCACACGGUAUUGAUUAUUGAUGCUUACGUAAGAAGCCGCUCAGUUUACUCAAUUAUUGCUACAGUAAUUGUUGCAUAGUAUCUCACGUUAUUUGAUUCAAUUAUUGGCACAGUAUCAUCUGCAUAAUAUUUUAUAUUAUUAAACCAAUAAUUGAGACGACAAAGUUAUUCAUAUUAUUAUUUAUAAUAUUGACGAUGUCUAGAAAGUUCUGUUGAGGAGAGGUUUGGUCACCUAAUUGCGCGCCAAUGGAGAGAAAUCUUUAUCAGAAAGCCACCUCUUUUCUGGGAAUGAUCUGGUUGUUAAAUAUUGUGAGUUAUAAUAUUAAUGAUGAAUAAUUGUUAAUAAAUUAAAAAUGUGUUUAUAAUUUGUGGUAAAUAUUUAUUCAAUUUUUGAUAUAAAUAUAGGGAUUGUUAAGAGGCGUUUGUUGUAAGUUUGACUUAGUAUUCCAUGGAAAGAUUUACUAAUUUUAUGGAUCGUCGAUGGUGGUUUUAAUAGAUAACCAAUCUAGACCAUUGAUGGUAGUUUUAAUAGUUAAUCAAUCUGGACCAUUGAUGGCGGUUGUAAUAGUAAAUCAAUCUGGACCAUUGAUGGUGGUUUUAAUAGUAAAUCAAUCUGGACUGUCGGUAGUGGUUUUAAAAGUAAAUCAAUUUGGACCGUCGGUGGUGUUUUUAAAAGUAAAUCAAUCUGGACCGUCGGUGGUGGUUUUAAAAGUAAAUCAAUCUGGACCGUCGGUUGUGGUUUUAGUAGUAAUCAAUAUAAACCGUCUGUUCUGAUAGUAAAUCAAUCUCGAUCAUUUAUGAAUCAGUUACUAUUUAGUCCAUUCUACUAUAAAUAAAAGCUUAAUUCUUCUUUCAUUCUCACCAAUUCACUGAGAUUCACAAGAAACACUAAUAGAGAGAGAGAGAGAAACUAUAGAGAGCAAGAAGAAGAGUAUUCUACUACUUAACUAUUGCAGUAUCCAGUCUUCUACUAAGGUAAGGAAUAUUAUUUCUUUCGUAUUCAUAAGGAAUACUAUUUUUCGUAUUCAUCCCUUAAUAUGUCGGAAUAACCUGUCUACGCGGAUUACGUACCGUAUGACAAGUGAAAAUCUAUUUGCAGUUUCGUAUGUUAUUUCUUUUCAUAUUCUUAAAUAUAAACUUACUAUGAUAAGUAUUGCUUCUAUAAUCCUUGAAAUUAGUGGAAUAUCCUUGAGUUUUGCGCUUCAUCCAGUAUCGUUUCAUUGGAAUAUUGAUCUGAACUUUCUUAUUAAAUAUCAAUAUUUUCACCCGGGGUACUAUUCAUGGGUUACUAUUUACCCGGUUACUAUUCACUAGAAUAUUAUUCACUCGGUUAUUCGGGACACUUUCCAUGCCGGGGUACUAUUCCCGAAGUAUUAUUCACGGGGUACUAUUCACCAAAAAAAAAAAAAUUUUUUGUCCAAAUUAUUUCUUAUACAUGGAUAUCUUGAAUUUUACUCCACAAAGCAGUAUCAUGUUGCUGGAUAAAUUAAAUUAUAAAUCUUUAAAAAUUUAUUGUGACGCCCCCAAAAUAGGUCCAUUCCAUCCAACCCAUUCUGAGUCGCCAAAUACAUGGUACAGAAAUAACUACAACUUUAUUAAUACAAUUGUCAUGCAAAAUACGACAACAUAUAUACUGUGAGUUUAAAUACAAUUAUUGUCUUCUAGACAAUAUACAUACCCAAAUAAAUCCUCAUCACAAUUAUUUAUACAUUAUUUUAUAAAAAUGGUGAGGACUACUAAACAACUCUCUCUAUAACCAUCAUUCCAUACCCCGACUCGUACUCGCUACAUUCUCGCCUCCUAAGAAGAAAAAUUGAACAAAAAGGAAAAGGGUGAGCUCAACUAGCCCAGUAAAGAAUAUUAUGACUAAGAUAAUAUACAACAAAUUAUCGUUAGUCUUCAACAGGGAAAAAUCUAAUAGAAUACAAUAGACAACAAGUUUUAAAUCAAUAUUCGCAGCGGAAAUAAUAAUUCAUUAGAAGAGUUAAGUAGAGAAUGCAAACUACUAUCUUCUAUGUAUGAAUUUAAAAGUUCAUCGUCUAUCUUUUAUCCCUGUAACAUCAAUCAAUAUAUAUCUGGAAUCAAAUAUUCAUCUUUGCACUACAGGCCAAAGAUAUUCAUCAGUUGGUCAUGUUCAUCUAAACACCUGUUCAUCUUUGCACUACGGGCCAAAGAUAUUCAUCAGAAAUCAUUCAUCUUUGCACUACAGGCCAAAGAUAUUCAAUAAUAUCAUCAUUUAAGACUGAGGAUGAUGAAAAAUUUUUUUUAAAGAAACGAAUCCAGUGAAACAAAAUGACAAGGAUUAAGGAUUAAGGAUUCGUACUUUGUUUUAUCCACGUCCAAAAAUACCUCAAAAAUAAUCAUAGUGGUGUAAAAUUCAAGAAUGAUCAAAACAUGGAUACAAUCAAAGCUAGUAUCCAUAAUAGAUAUUUUGGACAAAAAGAAGAAAUUUCAUUUUUCGGUGAAUAGUGCCGUAUUCGUGAAUAGUGCCGUAUACGUGAAUAGUGCCGUAUACGUGAAUAGUAACUCCGACACCAAAAGAUAGAAAUUUCACAAAAAACAUCUUCACGCUUCGUGAAUAGUACUCGUGAAUAGUAACUCGUGAAUAGUAACUCAUGAAUAGUAACUCGUGAAUAGUAACUCAUGAAUAGUAACCCCGACAUGAAAAAGUUCCAAAUUUGAUAAAAAUUUCCAACCAAUAUUUCGGCAUAAUGAUAUUGAAGAAAUAAUAUCAUUUUCGAAUAAAAUAACAUCCCUUACCUCGAAAGACAGUACUUCUAGUUGAAACACCGGAUAUAGGCUAUGACUUGAACUUGCACCGUAUAGCAAUACUCAAAGUAUACUCAAAAUACUCACAAGAAUACGCUCGAUAAUAUAGAGAGAGAAAACUUCAGUUUCUGGUGUGAUUUUCAAUUCUAACCUAAGCACCCUAUUUAUAGGAAAAUGCUUAGAACACCAAAGUAGAAAAUUUAAUAAAUUAAUAUUAUAAUUUUUCCACAACUUCAUACGCACACUAACAAUCUGAAUUCAGCCUCCUAAUCACAUGUUAAAUGAGUUUCAAAAAUGAAAAAAACGUUUUUGUAAUUAAAAAUAUUUUAAACUUCCAAAAAUCAAUUAUUUCGGAACUUCGGAACUUCAAUAAUUCAUAAUAAAUAGCCCUUUUAUCAGAAAAUUCGAAUCUCGCGAAUUUUUAUAGGAAAUUCAAUUCUCUACAACUUUGCAGAAGAAAGUUUUUCCAAAUUCCAAACAGAAAUUGACCGAAAUCCACAAACGGGCGAUUUUACAGGCUAUAAUCAAAUUUCGGUCAAUAAUUGUGUCCACCAACACACAAAAUAUGUGUUAAACAUUUAAUGCCACAAAAAUACUCUUCCUCCUCAUAUACUCAUAUAUCCCACAUUCAUUAUAAAAAUAUCACCGUUAAUAUAUUAUUAAAAUAAUAUAUUUAAAUGAAUUAUUUUAUCAGAAAAAGAUAAAAUAUUAAUUUUCAACAAUUGUCACAUUAAAAAUUUUCUCCAUCUAUAUCCACAUAAAAUCAAUAUUUUCCUCAUCAUAUAAAUCAAUAAUUAAUUAUUCACAAAUAAUAUUACAGAAUCACAGUACUGGCAACCAGGCCGUUCCCAGGAAAGAGGGGGCUUUCCAAUAAGGAUCUCUCCUUACUGGCGCGCAAUUAGGUGACCAAACCUCUCCUUAGACAGAACUUUCUAGACAUUGCCAAUAAUGUUAUCCAAUAAUAUUAUUCAGAUAAUAUGAAUUAUUGCUCCGAUAAUGGAAAAUACUGUGUAAUGACAAUUUAUUGAAACAACAGUAAUAUAAAAUAUCAAUGCAGCAAUUAUUGAAUCAAUAAAAUAAAAUACUGAACAGUAAUUACUGUAACAAUUAUUGAGUAGUGCCUUCUUACGUAAGAAUCAAUAAUUGGUGCAAUACCGUGUGCUACUGUUCAACAACGCGUAUUAGUGUGUUUUAACCACCGGGUAUUCCAACAGUAUUAACGGUAACAACUACGCCGUUAUUUAUAAACAACUUAUAUUUGUCGUUUUCUUCAUCCAAUCGCUUUCCGUUAUGGGGCCCACAAAAGACUGCGCCGUCGUACGAAUAUUCCCCGACAGUACGAAUAUUCCACGACCAAACGAAUAUUCCCCGACAAUAAUGAAUAUUUUAUAACCACUUGCAUAUUUGAAAUAUUUGCGUAUUUUACCCAUAACUAUCCACAUUAAUCAAAUCAACCCUUACUAUUUCAAAAUAAUAAAUAGAGGAAAAUAAAUUUCAUUUAUUAAUAAUUUGGGGUCUUACAUUUAUCAUUUGCUUUCUUUUAAUUGAAUUCUUAUAUCAUUGUCAUCAUCAUCAUGCUUAUAUUGUGAUGAAAGUCAUCUUUGGCGUACGUGCAUAGAUGGACUGUUGAUUGGUAUGAUUAUGACCAAGGAUAAUUCGGUAUGAUCAUGACCAUUGAUGAUUGCACGAAUAUUCUUGGCCCGUAGUGCAGGAAUAAUUUGUGAAUGUGAUACCAAUGAAUAGUCUUGGCCCGUAGUGCAGGGAUGAUUCUAUGUAAUUUAUUUAUUAAGCUGAGUCCCAGCGAUAAAAUUGAUAAUAAACUUUUUAAAUCAUAGAAGAUAGUAGAUAUCAUGCUCUACUUGACUCUCCUAAUGGAUUGUUUGUUCCGCUGUAGUUAAACUUGUGGUCUAUUAUAUUUUAUCAGUUGAACAUUGUUGAAGGCUAACGAUAAUUUAUUCUGCAUUAUCUUAGUCAUAAUAUUUUUUACUGGGCUAGUCGAGCUCACCCUUUUGCUUUCAUUGUUCUCUUCAGGAAAUGAGAACGUAGCCGGAACUAGUCGGGAAACGGAAUGAUGGUCCGAGAUGGUGUUAUAGUAGGCCUCACUAUUCUAUAAAAUAGUGUGACAAUAAAUGUAAUGAGAACUCCAUUUGAGUUUAACUAUUGUUUAGAAGAUAAUAUUAGUGUAAAAACUGUUAGUUCAUGUUGUAUAAUUAAGUUUGUAUUUGUAUUCAGUACCAUGUAUUUGGCGACCCAAGAUGGGUGAUGUAUAUCUAUUUUGGGGGCUCACAAGUUAACCAUUUAAGAUUUCAACAAUGGCUCAAAAGGAUAUUCUUAGCUUCUACCAAGACAAAAUUUUACACUUAAUCCACAUAAGCUUUUGUACCGGUCUGAAUAUACAACAUUGAAUGUCAGAAACAUCUUUCCCAAAAUUCUCAAGCGUACAUAGCUGAAUUUGACAAGUAAGCACAUUAGUCAUAUCAACAAACUAUUAGCUAUAUGUGAGCAUUUUAUAUAUCAAUGUCAACUCAGUUAAGAUAUCAAAGUUCACAAGACAUCACAAAAUAAAACAAUGAGUUCAAAGCUAAAUGAAUCACAUAUUAAUCACACAUAUCUUAUAAGGCUAAUUUUCAUUAUAUGAAGCUCAACAGACACAUUGAUUCAAGUAGCAAAUCAGAAUGAAGAGAGUUUCACACAGAGACAUUUUAUCGACAAGGCAAUCUUGAGAUUUUUUCUUCGAUAUGAAUAGCAUUCCCACCCCCACAGUCCUAACCAUAUCUCUAUCCUUUUCCAGAAUAAUUUGCUCCCUUGGGACAUCAGCUGACCUACCAUCAGCGAACUCAAUCAGUCCAAAAAAAUAACAGAACAAUUAGUUAAAGUAAUUGGUUAUGGAAGUAUAGAAGUGUAAAAACAGAACUGAAAGCUAAAAAAGCAAGUAUUUCAUGUAAGAGACUAUUUACUUAUCCUAAAAAAAUAAAAUAACAAAAAAAAACUGUAAUGAUAUCCCUAAAAAAACAAAACACCAGUCCCAAAAGACUCCAAUUGCUUACAAAAUAGUAUAUUGUCGAUUGGCUUUAAUAUCUUGAAAUUUAAAGAAGAAUUCAUAGAACCUUCUUCGAUGUUGAGCAUCAACAUAUGAUUCUUGUUGGCAAAAGGUAAAACACUACAUUUUUAUGUUCGAAAUCAAAAGAAGCUUUGCAGAAGCUGCAUUUUAAACACAAACAUAAAAAUAUCAUCAUGCUUAAGCUUCAAAUUACACUUUCAAUUUGAGAGGUUGUUGUCCACGUGAUAUCAGAGUCGGCCACCUCCUGCUGUAUUAUUUAUUCUCUUCUCCAUUGUUUUCUGGGUGUAGAAUGAUAUCAGAGUCAGCCCACCAUCACUCAUUUCCCCUGCCCGCCCUUACAACCUAGAAGUUAAAAGGGACGCCUUGUUGGACUGAAUAAUGGAAAAUGACUAGAAUUUUCAAACAUACAACAUUUUCCUCUCUUUUGAUUUAUAAGUUUAUUUUCCUCCCCUUGUGAAAUCGGGUUACAUAUAGGAAUGACAGAUGCACAUAGGCCAGCAGACCAAAGUUCUAACCAACAACAAAUCAAAUAGAAUCAGGAGAGAUUUUAGAUCAUCACCACACAAUUCGGACAAACAGCAGAAAUAUCUCAGUUCCCAUAUUAAUUUGAGUUACCAAAAGGAACUCAAAACUUGUUCCCUAAUUCAUCUCAAGAAUUUAGUAAAACAACCAUCAUCAGCAAAGAAAGUAAUGGCCUCACUUCUUCCCUAAUUAUAUAGCCAGACACCAAUAACACCAUCAAAAUUGCAUUUUCAACCAUUUAAUCCAGAAAUCGGAGAAAAAAAAUCAAGGGUAAAAAAACACAGAAUUAGAAAGAAAAUGGUGACACGCAAAAAGUCUCCCUUCUCAUUCCCAAAUUGAAAUGGCAAAGUAUUAUACUGUCACUCCUUCUUACAAUUAACUACAGACUUGAACAAAAUGCUUUUUCCCAUUCGUUAUUGAAACUUUAAACUAUAAAACAGGUACACCAAGAUAUUAAGAAGUGAUGAUGCGUUUCCCAUUCUGAUUAAAUUAAAGUUUCCACAGUAGUCAUCGUAGCCUUCUAAAAUUUCCUGGCAAAUUGCUUUGAGAUGAGAAAAUUAACUAACUAUUCGCACUUGAACCUUACUGCUUAAUCAGAUUUCGAAGAACAUAUUGGAGGAUGCCACCGUGAUCAAAAUAUGCCAACUCGACCUACAGAUGAAAAAUCAAAUGAAGUCAGAAUAUGACGCCAAAUACUAAAAACAUAAAAUAAAAUAAAAAAUGGCAUAUUGGCAUACAACUAACAAUUUCUUUUAAGAGACCUAUAACAGUUGGGGACUUAAAUAUAAAUGGUUCUAUACAAUGUUCUCGACUAUCUUUAAGUAUGCAUAGGUAAUAUUCCAUUGAAGUCGGACAUUAUCAACAUACUCCAUCAAAAAGAGUUCAUUUUCCUUACUAACUUCAACUCCCGUUGAGAACAUUCCAGACUUGUAUUAUAGAAAGGACAGGUGCAAAGUCUUAUCAUGACUGCAUAUUCAAUUUAUCAGACAUACCCGUCAAUUCUCAUGCUUAAGCUAAAAUAGCCUCAUUUAGACAUUUUAACAAACACCACAAAGGCAUAGCUUAAAUUUCCAGAUUUCAUAGAGGUUUAGGCAUGGUUCAAAAAAUUUCAUAUAAAUCCUUCCUUAUUACUCCAUAUAACAUAUAUUCCCAUCACAAAACACAGUUCCACAACAAACCAGAGCAAUAUAUGGCAAUACAAAACACCAUUUACUUUGAAUUUCAUGAAUGUAAUAAGAACAUAUGGUUUACCUCUCGCUUGAUGAAAUUUCUGAUAUCUGUAAAAUAUAGUAUUAUUUAAUAUAUGUAGAUAUAAAAAUUAAAUAAAACAGAAACAUGAAAAAUAUUAUAAAUCCGAGUCCUUUGAAUUCACAAAGUCUCCUUAAAGCAAAUUUAUUCCCCCACAGAUGCUAAGAAUUAAUUGAAUAAUUGCUUCCCAAGAUAAAACGGAUUUACAAUUCUUAAUUAGUAGCACUACAAAAUUAAGAAUUCAAUGAACGUAACUCGAACUUUAAUGUUAAUAAUAAUGAUGAAUGCAUGAAGGAAAAACUUACUGCAACACUUUACAAAUAACGGGAAUUUGCAGAAACGGAAAUGCAACUCUUUUGCAGAGAACGGGAUUCUACUGAACGGUAACGGGAAAUAUAUACAGAAACGGGAACGGGAUUUUAUGGAAGGGAAGGAACGGAAAAAUUCUCAACGGGACGGGACAGAAAUUUUACACAAUAGGAGGGAAAAUUGUAUAUGUUGUUUUAAGCGCAGAGCCCCUUAAUUUAUAGAAUAAAUUCGCGGUUAAUUAUUACCGUUGGGUGCAACUGUCAUCAAAACUACGUAUUAUCAUGAUAAUAAUUAAAACAAAAUUUGAUAAAUUAUUAAACAAAUUUUGUCCAAAAAAUUAUAUAUGAACCCGACCGGACGGACGGCGGCGGCGGCGCGCGUGUGGGUUUGAACCAUGCCUUGGCUAGGUCCUCUCCCUUCCACAAAAGUGAGGUGCCCCUUGGGGCCCUUCCCAUUGAGCAAACAUCCCAUAUAUAUGUUAUAUAUAUGUUCUGCAUUUUUCCCUCUAAUACCCUAUGUGGGACUUUUGUAAUUGACAACAUUCAAGUAGGUGACUUUGGAGUCAAUUUUCUCAUUCAAUUCUUAAUGGAUUUGAACACAUAAAUAUACCAAGUUAUACUCCUCAUGAAGGAGAACACAUUGGUGCAAAGACCCAACAUUUUCGGAAUGUGGAUCCCUCAUUAAAUUGAGCCUCAAAAUGUUCUAUUAUUUAAUAUUUCAAAUCUCAUUUCCAACAAUUUCUAGGCAUGAUAUUGAGUAAAUAUCACUUCUUUUUUUGCUCUCAUUAGCUUUAAUUUUCCCUCCCAAUCAAGGGCGGAGCCAGGAAUUAAUUUUCUACUAGGCUACCAAGUACCAAUUAUAUCCACAAAAAAUUGUCCCAUCAAGAUCAAUCACAAAUUCAAAAUCAUACAUAGUAAUAAGGUUCAAAGGUACAUAACAUGCAAGGAAAAAGGAAAACAAAACACACUAUUUAAGCUGCAUCCUUUGUAGAAUAGAAUUCGUCUAUUAUGGAAUCUGAAUCGAUAUCUUCAAGAAGCUCUCGUUCAAUGUAAAUCAUCAUAGAAUCUGCUAAAAACUCUUCCAUUUUAUUGCGAAGAGCAGUUUUAACAUGUUUCAUAGCUGAAAAUGCUCGUUCUGUCGUGGCUGUGGAAACAUGUAGAGUCAAAACAAGACGAAUCAAUCUAUCAAUCAAAUUAUAAGUCUGCAACUUAUUUAUUUCAACUAAUCCGCGACACAAUUCAGUGAUGGUAGACAUAUUUUGAAAGCUCUGAUGACGGAGCACAUCAAUUUUAUAAUGAUUUAGUUGACAUCUCAAAUAAUGCAUUUCUUGCUCACCGAAAUCUUCUGGAUAAAAUUUCUCAGCAAGCUUGCAAAUAUCAUCAACUUUGAAUGAUUUAAAGUUGUCCUUCGAUUCUAAAGCUGAGUUAAGUAUAAGGAGUUCCACUGCUUCAUCACUAAAUCUGGAAUUCAACUCUUCCUGCUGAAAAUCUAUUGCUGAAUUAAACACAUCAAAAUGAUAGUGUUGACAAAUGUCAUCGAUUCUUUUUGUUGGCAUGAACGACCGAUAGCCUUUUUGAAUGAAGCAUUCAUAUCUGGUAUGUCAAUGUCAUUUUGUGUGCAAACUGAUUGCACAUGCUCAAGGAGAUGAUCAAAUCCCUCUUCUCUCAAAGUGUGAAGUAGUGCUUUAGUAGUUGAGACUAGAUCCAUGGCAUUUACAAUGUCAAGAGAUUUGUGCUGCAAAGCUCUACAAAGCAAAUCAGUAAUCCCCAUAAUUUUAUGCAUCAUAUAUAGAGUGAAAAUAAAAUCAAAAGACCUCAUUAUAAUCAAACAACCACCAGCUUCUCCACGCAUAGAGUUAGAGGAUACUUCUUCAACAAUACUUUCAAGCACUGAAAUAGUUGCACCAUACAUAUCAAUUAAGCUGCAAAUAGAAUCAAAAUGAGAGCUCCACCAAGUAGCUCCACUCCGAUGUAGAUUACCAAUCUGAUUAAGGCCUCUACCAGUAUCACGUUCACCAGAAGCUACCAUACGUGCAAUUUCAAUAGCUUGAGCAGAAUGUAACUCAGUAUGCCGUUUGGGAGAAGCACCAAUGAGAUUGAUAAUGGUUGUUAGUUUCGAAAAAAAUUGCCAAACAGAAAUCUCUUUUGCAGAAGCUGCAACUAAUGCUAAUUGUAGUCUGUGAGCAAAGCAAUGUACAUAAUAUGCGUAUGGACAAUCUUUAAGAAAUAGAGCUUGAAGUCCGUUCCAAGCACCAUGCAUAUUACUAGCACCAUCAUACCCUUGACCUCGCAUAUUAAGGAUAUGCAAAUUAGCUCGAGCAAGGACAUUAGAUAUUUCUUUCUUCAAUGUUGAAGCAGUAGUGUCUAAAACAUGCACAAUCUCAAAAUAACGCUCUCCUAAGAAACCAUGGUUGUCAACAAAUCUCAAAACAAUAGCCAUCUGCUCUUUAUUUGAUGCAUCUUUGGCUUCAUCAACCAAAAUACAGAACUUUUCAUCUCCAACUUCUUCACGAAUUUUUCUUCUAACUUUGUUUGCAAAAAUAUGCAAAAUUUCUUUCUGAAUAGUCGGUGAAGUAUAUUUAGCAUUUUUCGGAGCUUUCUCUAAGACUACAUCACCAAUGUUAACGUUCAAUCGGCCCAUAAGUCUUAUCAUCUCUAUAAAAUUACCACAAUUUUUAGAAGUUGGAGAUUCAUCAUGACCUCUAAAUGCACAAGCUUGCAAGCUAAGCCACUUUAUACUCUCAAUUGUUGCUGUAAGUCGCAACCGAUUCUUCUGAACUUCUUCUAGAGUUUGUGCAUUCAAGACUUUGUCAAUAUGUCCAGUUACUUUCAUCAAGUCUUCAACACAUUUCACUGCAUUCCUAUGUGGUGAAGUAGGACCUCCCACAUGCAUCAAAAGUGCACAUCUAACUCCAUCAUUAACCCUCUUCCAACUAUUAAACCCUUCAGUAAUGAAUGCAGGAUGAAGAGGCACCUUAUUUUGAAAAACAAAGCAUGGAAAACAAAAUGCUGCAUCCUUUGAUGGAGAGUACUCUAACCAAGGAAAGGAUUCAAACCACGAAUAUUGAAAUUUUCGAUUUUGUGAGCCUGAUUUAGUCCUUGGGUACUCUGCCAACUUAGGUUGAUACGGACCCAUUUUGAUAUAAGCUCUCCUAAUUUCAUCUCGUUGAUUAACAGGAUGUUGCCAUAUAGGGAUCCGAAUCCCAGGAUCCCGUUCAAGAGUACUAAGAUCAAUUUCAACUCUUCGAGAUUUGGAAAGGGGUGGUUGGUGAUCUGAGAUAUCAACAUUAGAUGGAGAAUGUCCUUCACUAGUUGCCGUUGUUGCACUUUCUCUUGGUUUAAAGAAAGAAAACAAAGUUUUUUCUCUCUUGCUUCCUUGACUUUCUAUUGCGGCUUAUAAGAUAUUGGUCUGAAUUGCACUUGUGUCGUGGUCCAAUCUCUCUAACAUUUUGAAUCAUAAUAUCAAAAAUAAAAUAUCAAAACAUCCAGCACAAAUAUAUAAUUUCUCACAAAAUCUUAGGCUCUAUUUAUUUCAAGAAAAACAAAUUUCAGAAAAAGUUUUUCACAUUCCCCUACGUUUGGUAUGACAAUGUAAUACUACCCCUAAUUCAUUAAAAAUCAAAUGCAUAUUAAAGCUAAAUAAUAUAUACAUUAAUACAUACUGCAAAUAAUAUAUACAUUAAUACAUACUGGGUAGAAAGGUAAAGGUAAACCUAGUGAAGUGCUGCCCAUAAUUUGCAAACAAUUAUAUAUAAAUGGAUCCAGAAACAUCACUGUAAUGAAUAGCAAAGAAUUAAGAAGAUACAGAUAUUAAGAUUGAAUACCUUUAGUUCUCUGAAUGCAAGAAGUUAAGAAGUCCAAAUAGAAGAAAAAUUAAAGGCUCGAUAGUCGACCCCAAUCAGCUUCCCUGUUAAACAAUAAAAUCAAGCUUCAACCUUCAAAUUAAUCUUUAAAAAAUGUACAAAUCUCAACUAAACAGAAAAAAUGCAUACGGAUCCUUAAUGCAGAAGCUCAAUCGAGCGUUGAUUUCACUAGUGAAGCUGAGAAAGAUGGCAGCUCCGGUUUGGCAACGGACGAACUUUAACAAACUCAGAGCAACAACGAUGGCAAUCGGCAGACAAUAAGUAGAGUUCAGUUCCCCCUCUUCAUUGGCCACAACGAGGAGGAUUUGAGCGGAGGAUGAUGUUGGGAGGGUUUGAUAAAUGAUAGGGGUUUUAUUUAUGGGCUAAAAUAUUGGGUUGGGCUAAGAUAUAUAAGUAAAAAAAAAAAAAAAUUAAGCUGGCCUGGGCUACAGCCCAACCGAGCCCCUACAUGGCUCCGCCCCUCCUCCCAAUCAGCUCGUGACUUCAUCUCCUUAAUGAAUUUAAUAACUUCUAGCCGAAAUUGGGAAAAUUUUGGUGUUGAUUACUUUGGCAAAUUCACGAGAGAGAAAAUGGAACGGAUGGGCUAAGAAACAGUGUAUUGAGAAUGGUUUAGGGAAAAUUCAAAAGGAAUGAAAUUUGUACCUUCAAUUGGGUAAUAAUGGAAGAGACUGAAGGAGAUCGAGAGAACGACCCACCUUCAAAGAUAAAACCACCCCCACCAUCGCAACAGCUACGAUCUCCGAUCCCAAUUGCCAGAUUUGCUCCAAAACAGUCCAACUCUCCAACCUCCACCCACCAUUUUCAUCUCCAAUCCACGAUCCUCCUCCGUCUCUUCAGCAAAUAUUAAGAAGAAGAUCUAGAUCUAGAUCCAGAUAUCUUUUCAGGUUUAUUGCAAAAGAUAAAAAUUGUGUAAUUGCAACUAUAAGUCUAUAAUCAGAAUAAAAAAAUAAUAAAUUUCAAAGUAAAGUUUAUUAAUAAAUGAAUGUUAAUUUUAUUAUUUUUAAUAAAUAUAAUGAUUAAUGUUUUAAAUUAUAAUUCGAGUAAGUUUUUAUCAUUUUUAAAAUUUUAAAUUUUAAAAUGAAUACUUUAAUUACAACUAUAGCUAGAAUAAGAAAAAUAAAUAAAUUUUAAAGUAUAGUAUUAAUGAAUGAAUAUUAAUUUAUUUAUUUUUAAUAAAUACAAUAAUCAAUCAUCUAAAUUACAAUUCAAUUAACUUUUCAUCAUUUUUGAAAUUCUAAAUUUUAAUUUUAAAAUGAAUGCUCUAAUUACAAUUAUAAAUAGAAUAAAAAAAAAUAAUGAAUUUUAAAGUAUAGUUCAUUAAUUCUAAAUUAAUUUGAACCUAACACAUUUUAAUAAUAAAAUUAUAUUAUCUAUUGUUAUUGUCUCUUGUUAACGCAAGUAAAUUUUGAAAGUGCAAAAUUUGUAACAAGCUAAUACCUAUAUAUAUAAUUAAUUUAUAUAUAUAUCUGACUUAUUAAUUAUUGAAUAUAAGUUAUUAAUAUGUAUGUACACACACACACACACACACGCACACACACACACACACACACACAUAUAUAUAGUCCGGAUCUUAAGUUCAUCCCUUAUUCAACUCACUCGAGCUCACCCCCUCUUUAGCGACGGACCUGGCGACGGUUCGGCCAUACAACCGUCGUCUAUACUUUUAGCGACGCUAUAUAUUGUCCGUUGUUAAAAGUAUAGACGACGGUUCGUCGGGUCCGUCGCUAAAGGGGGGUGAGCUCGGGUGAGUUGGAUAAGGGGUGAGCUUAAGAUCUGGACUCUAUAUAUGUAUAUAUGUAUAUAUAUAUAUAUGUGGGUUCCAAUUCAUGACAACCGGUUGUUAGGAGUACUAUUCCAGCAACUAUCAUCUCCAUCGUUUUUCAUCAUUGAUCAAUAUAAUUAAUAGUUGAGAUUAAAAAAAAUAAAAGUCUUACCGCUACAAGUUGUAGCGACAGUAAUUACACUUACUUUAGUAGAUUAGUAAGUGUACUUACUGCCACUACUAAAGUAAGUGUAAUUACUGCCACUACAAUUUUAGCGGCAAGACUUUUAUUUUUUUCAAUCUCUACCAUUAAUUAUAUUGAUUAACGAUUGAGAUGAUGGUUGCUGAAAUAGUACUCCUAACAACCGGUUGCCAUGAAUUAGAACCCUAUAUAUACACUUUAAAAUUUGCAAUAUUUAUAAUCUAUAAUUAAAUUCAAAAGUUUACAUUGAAUAUUUAAUUCUCUUUUUCAAAAUUAUAUUGUCUAUUGUUCCCGCAUCUCGACAUCGCAAUUAAGUUUUUAAGUAAAAAAAUUAACAAGUUAAUAAUUAUAGUUUGGUAAGUUAAUAUAUAGAGUAAUAUGGUCAUACACAGUUGUGUAUAAUUUAUUUGUGCAUAGUCUGUCAAAACUAUGUCGUUUUGGCAGUUUUUUUAUUUAUUAAAAAAACAGUUUCUCUCCUCCCAAAUCAGAAAUCAAAAAUAAAUAUGCCAAAAUGACACAGUUUUAAAAGACUGCGCACAAAUAGAAUAUACACGGCUAUAUAUAUAUGGGCCCCCGUUAUUGGCAAUCGGUUGUCACGGAUACUAUUUCAACAACCAUAAUCUAUAUCGUUGAUCGCAACAUUGGAUGACACGGAUUGAAAUGGAUUUCUCCCUACCGCUACAGGCUAUAGCGACAUGAGAAAUUACUCAUUUACCCCUCAUUUACUCAUGUACUACACUGUCUACCGCUACAAGUUAUGGCGGUAGUUUAAUUAACUAGUAAAUUAGAAUGGCUUAGUGGUAGCUUAAUGGCCCAAUAACCUAUAGGUCUUAAGUUCAAAACCUAGCUGUUAUAUUUUUGCUUCUUAUGUUAGAUUUUUUGUGUAUUAGAUAAAUUCUAUUACCAUCUAUGUGACGCCCCCAAAAUAGGUAUACAUCACCUAUUCUGAGUCGCCAAAUACAUUGUACAGAAUAUAAAUACAAUCUUUAAUAUACAACAAGAGAGCUGUGAGUUUUAAUACAAAUAUUAUCUUCUAGACAAUAUCCACUCUCAGAAUAAGUCCUCAUUAUAUUUAUUGUCACACUAUUUAACAGAAUAGUGAGGACUGCUAAUGCUAUCAUAUGGACCAUCACUCCAUUCCCCGACUAGUCCCGGCUACGUUCUCAUUUCCUGAAGAGAACAGUGAAAGAAAGGGUGAGCUCAACUAGCCCAGUAAAAAAUAUUAUGACUAAGAUAAUGCAGAAUAAAUUAUCAUUAGUCUUCAACAAUGUUAAACUGAUAANNNNNNNNNNNNNNNNNNNNNNNNNNNNNNNNNNNNNNNNNNNNNNNNNNNNNNNNNNNNNNNNNNNNNNNNNNNNNNNNNNNNNNNNNNNNNNNNNNNNNNNNNNNNNNNNNNNNNNNNNNNNNNNNNNNNNNNNNNNNNNNNNNNNNNNNNNNNNNNNNNNNNNNNNNNNNNNNNNNNNNNNNNNNNNNNNNNNNNNNNNNNNNNNNNNNNNNNNNNNNNNNNNNNNNNNNNNNNNNNNNNNNNNNNNNNNNNNNNNNNNNNNNNNNNNNNNNNNNNNNNNNNNNNNNNNNNNNNNNNNNNNNNNNNNNNNNNNNNNNNNNNNNNNNNNNNNNNNNNNNNNNNNNNNNNNNNNNNNNNNNNNNNNNNNNNNNNNNNNNNNNNNNNNNNNNNNNNNNNNNNNNNNNNAAAUCACCAUGCAUGCGAUAGACCGCACAGACAUGUUAUUCCAACAGAAUAAUAAAUAACGGAACCAGGUCAGGCGUAAUACGCACCGACAGGAUAUUCCAACAGAAUAAUAAAGAAUGAAAUAACAACAGAAAUCACCAUGCAUGCGGUACUUCGCAUAGACAGGUUAUUCCAACAUAAUGAUAAAGAAUGGAAUAACAGAAGAAUUUCACCAAGUAUAGGGUAGCCCGCGUAUACAGGUUAUUCCAACAGAAUAAUAAAGAAUGGAAUAACAGAAGUUCUCUUCAUGAAUACGAAAGAAAUAAUACCCCUUACCUUAGAAGAAACUGGAUAUAGGAGUAGUGAAGUAGCAGAAUACUUUUCUUCUUUCUCUCUAUAGUUUCUCUCUCUAGAGUUUCAGUGAAUUCGUAAGAAAUAAUGAAGGAAUGAGCUUCUAUUUAUAGGAGAAUGGACUGAAUAGUAACUAAUUCAUGAACGGUCCAGAUUGAUUUACUUUUAAACGGACGGUCCAUAUUGAUUUACUAUGCAGUAUUAAUAAAAUAUUCUAAUAAAACAAAAUCUUUUAAAUAAAAUAUAAUAUAUUCUAUUUAUAAUCUAAUAAAACGAAUAACUUUAUAAAAGUAUUCUGUUUUAUAUAAAAAGAUUUUACUAUGCAAACACUAUGCAGGCACUAUGCAAACACUAUGCAUAAUAAAAUAUAAUAUAUUCUAAUUAUUGUCUAAUAAAACAAAUAACUUUAUAAAAGUAUUCUGUUUUAUAUAAAAAGAUUUUACUAUGCAAAACACUAUGCAUAAUAGAAUAUAAUAUAUUCUAUUUAUAGUCUAAUAAAACGAAUAACUUUAUAAAAGUAUUCUGUUUUAUAUAAAAAGCUUUUCUGUUUUAUUACAUUAAUAAUACUAAUAAAACAAAACUUCAUCAUCAUUAUUAUUAUUCACACUAUUAAUCGACCAGGUCGUUCCCAGGAAAGAGGGGACUUUCCAAUAAGGAUUUCUCCCUAUUGGCGCGCAAUUAGGUGACCAAACCUCUCCUUGGCAGAACUUCUAGACAUCGUUAAUAUUGCAAAUAAUAACAUUAAUCACUUCGUCGUCUCAAUUAUUGAUUUAAUAAUAUAUAAAAUAUUGACAAUAAUUGAAUCAAAUAACGUGAGAUACUAUGCAGCAAUUACUAAAGCAAUAAUUGAACAAAACUGAGUGACUUCUCACGUAAGCGUCAAUAAUCAAUACCGUGUGCUGCUAUGCAACCACGCGUAUUACUGUACUUUUACUACCGAGUAGUUCAACAGUAUUAACGGUAAAACUUACGCCGUUAUUUUUAUAAAAAUAUUUUUGUCGUUUUUCUCAAUCCGACAAUAAUUCCGUUGUGGGGUCCACCAAUGAUUGCGUCGUUGUACGAAUAUUUCCUGUUAAAAUGAAUAUUCCCCGACCAAUCGAAUAUAAUACAACAACUUGCAUACUUUGCAAAAUUUAUAAAUAUUAUCCACAACUAUAACAUUAUAUCAAAUUCAUUCCAUAAUAUUAAAAAAUGAUAAUUAUAGAAAAACUCAUCUUUAUUCAUAAAAGUUGGGGUCUUUCAAUCUAUAUAUAUAUACCCAUCUAAAAUCUCCACAUUAAACUAAAUAUGUAUAAAGUAACUAUGAAUAUUUUAAUAUAUAUAUAUAUAUAUAUAAACAAAUAUUCAUAUAAAUAUUUAAAAAUUUAUCUCUAAAUAUUCAUAUAAAUAUUUAUAAACAAAUAUUCAUAUAAAUUUAUCUUUAAAAUUUAUAACAAAUAUUUAUUUAUAAAUUUAUAAAUAUUUCAUCUAAAAUUUAUAAAAUUUAGAUAUAAAUAUUUUUUAUAAAUAUUUAUAUGAAUAUUUAGAGAUAAAUUUAUAAAUAUUUAUAUGAAUAUUUUUUUACAUAUAUAUAUUUAUAUAUAAAAAUAUUCAUAGUUACUCUAUAUAUAUUUAGUUUAAUGUUGAGAUUUGUUUAGUAUUUUAUUUAGUUUAACAAGAAAUUUUGAAAAGAAUAUGUAUGCAUAUAUAUAUAUAUAUAUAUAUAUAUAUAUGGUAGUAAAAUUUAUCUAAUACAUAAAAAAUAUAGCGCAUGAAGCAUGAAAAAAUUUAAUAAUAACUUCUAAGUAAAAAAAAGUUAAAAUUUAAGUUAUUGUCAAACACUAAAUAAUAACAAAUGACUUAUAACUUAGUUUGACCAACUUAUAAGUCAUUGCCAAACACCCUCUAAUUCAAGAUAUAAAGAGAAAUUAAUAUUUGAUUAUAAAAAAAUUUACAAGUCAAGAAAAAGGAGAAUUUGAAAAAGGGGAGUUAAAAAAAAACUUACACACCAUUGGUGCAACUUAAUUGGUCUAUGUCGGAACCAUUGGCACGACUUAAUCGGUGCAGUUUGGUCAAUUUUUGGUGCAAUUUCGGGAGCGAUUUCGAUUCCUUGCCCAUACCUUGUCAAAAAGUAUAUAUGUAAAAUAACGAGUUAUAAGAAAAAUUCAUAUAAAUUAAUUAUAUUUUUUUUCAAAAUUAUAAGUGUGCGAAUAUGAUCAUUAUAAACUACAUCCAAUUAACUAUAAACGUUAAUUUUUGUAAAUUAAAAAAUAUAUCUAUAUGUGCUCAAUUUUAAUUUCAAAAAUUAUAACUUUAAAAAAAUAAAACUGGGCAUUUAUUUUGAGACGGACGGAGUGAAACAUUUCACUGUAUAAAAUUGUGUCCAAAUAAAUAAAAAUGAAAAAUGAUGCGUUUUGGGGGGAAAAAAAGAUGCAUGUUUAUUGGGUUAAUUUGUCUUAAUUUUGGGCACUAAUUUACUAGUCAUUGCAAAAAAAUGUAUUAAAUACGCAACGAAAAAAAUUAUUGCCAAUGAAUGUGGCCUAUAUUAGGCAACGAAAUAUAGCAACAAAAAAGUUUCACUGUCGACGAUGAGGAAAAAUCUCAUCGACAACAAAAAAAAAUAGGCGGUGUGUUUUUUUUUCCACCAACGAUUUGACAAUGAAUUUUUGCAACGACUUAUGAAUUUCAUUACGAAAAAUGAAAGCCUUUCAUAAACUGCAAUGAAUGACAAAUUUUAUUACUAAACAUGUAUUUUUGGCAACGACUUUAUAAGUCGUUGCCCGAAAAAUUGUUGUCAAAUGUCUAUUUUUUGUAGUGCUAAUAUUUAUCCUUAAUCUCACUUGAUUAAUUCCUUAUAUCAUUGUCAUCAUCCUCAUACUUAUAUUGUGGUAAAAGUAAUUUUUGGUCCGUAAUGCAUAGAUGUGCUGUUAAUUGGUAUGAUUAUGACCAGAAAAGUUUGUAUUGGUAUAAUCAUGACUUGUAAUGUUACAAACAAAUGAUGUGGUGAAAGUCCUCUUUGACCCGUAGUGUAUAGAUUGACAGUUGUUUGACAUGAUCAUGACCACUGGUGAUACUAACGAAUAUUAUUGGCCCGUAGUGCAUGGAUAAUUCGUUGAUGUGAAAUAUUUAUUGAUUGUUGUCACAGAGAUAAAAUAUUGAUGAUGAAUUUUUAAAUCAUAGAAGAUAGUAGACAUUAUUCUCUACUUGACUCUUCUAAUGGAUUGCUAUUUUCGCUGCAGUUGUUGAUCUAAAACUUGUUUUCUAUUGUAUCGUAUCAAAUUUUUCCCUGUUGAGGACUAACGAUAAUUUAUUUUACAUUAUCUUAGUCAUAAUAUUCUUUAUUGGCUAGUUGAGCUCACCCUUUUUCUUUUGGUUCCAUUGUUCUUUUUAGGAGGCGAGAAUAUAGCUGGGACUAGUCGAAGAGUGGAAUAAUGGUUCAAGAUGGUUUCUUAGUAGUCCUCACUAUUUUAUAAAAAUAGUGUGAUAAUAAUUGUAAUGAGAACUUUAUUUAAGUUUAGAUAUUGUCUACACGAUAAUAUCUGUAUUGAAACUCACAGCGUAUGUUUUGACGUAUUUUACACGACAAUUAAUAUUGUUAUUAAUGAAGUUGUAUUUGAUUUCUGUACCAUGUAUUUAGCGACUUAUAAUGGGUUGUACGGACCUAUAUUUUGGGGGCGUCACAAAAUACUUCAUAAAAAUCCAAUCUAUUUAUCUCAACUCACUUGGCUUCACUAAACACAUUUUUAAUAAUAUUUAUUCAUCAUUAUUAUAACUCGCAAUAUUAACAACUAGAUUAUUUCCAAGAAAGAGGGGGAUUUUCGAUAACGAUUUUUUUUUUGUUGGCGCGCAAUUAGGUGACCAAACCCCUUUCAUCAACAGAACUUUCUAGACAUUGUCAAUAAUGCAAAUAAUAAUAUGAAUAUCUUUGUCAUCUUAAUUAUUGAUUUAAUAAUAUAAAAUAGCGUGACAAUAAUUGAAUCAAUAAUGUGAGACACUAUGCAGCAAUUAUUGUGGCAAUAAUUGAAUAAAACUGAGUGACUUGUCACGUAAGCAUCAAUAAUCAAAGAUACUGUACAAUACCGUGUGCUACUAUACAAUCACGCGUAUUACUGUACUUUUAUCACCGGGUAUUUCAAUAGUUAACGGUAAAACUUUUGCCGUUAUUUUUAUAAAAAGUUAUUUAUGCCGUUUUCUAACUCCGACAGUAAUUUCGUUGUGAGAUCCACCAAUGAUUGUGCCGUCGUACGAAUAUUCCGUGAUAAAAACGAAUAUUCCCCGACCAAACGAAUAUUUUAUAAAAACUUGCAUACUUUGUAAAAUUUAUAAAUAUUACCCACAACUAUAACAUUAUAUCAAAACCACACCUUAUUAUUCAAAAAGAUAUUUAGAGAAAAAUUAAAUCUUUAUUCAUAAAAGUUGGGGUCUUACAUACGUGGUAUAUGAAGAAAUUAAACAAGGAUCCAUAUAUUAUUAUAGAAAAUAUUUAUUGUGAGUAUUUAUGAUUUUUUUAAUUGUCAGUUACGUAGAUAAAUAUUAGUUAUAAUCCUUUUAAAGAGAUGUAUACUAAGUGAGACUGUUUUAUAAUUUUAUCUAAUCUCAUAUAUUGAUAUGUUCUUAAUUAUAAUUAUUUGACAUAAAUUUAUCACAAUACAAAACUCUAUUAUUAUUCUAUUGUUUAAGAUGAAUUUUAAUCAUUAAUUAUAGAGGACAGGCACAAAGAAAGAGCAACUCUCAGAUAUCCCAAAAAAAUUGACUUACGGGGAAAGUUAAUAAUGAUUGAACUAAUAGGAACCCUCAAGUGGAAAGUUAAUUAUUGAAUUAAUAGUAACCAUUAACUUUUAAAAUAUAUUAUAGUUCAGCAUAAAUUUAUCUUAUUACAUAAUAAAAUUUUAUUUUUAUUUUUAUUCUAUUUUAUCGCUUAAAAUAUUUUAGAUAUUGUGUCUUCCCUCGUUUGUUGAGAAGUAAUAAAUGACUAAUAUUUUUAAUUUGAAACACUUGUGGUGGAUAAAGUAAAAUAAACUUUUAUAAACAAAUUUACAUUCAUAAUUUACAUUCAUAAUUUACAAAACUACAAUAUUUGUUAUUUAUAAUUCUCAAAACACAAAUGAUGAACAUGUUUUCCUUAUUUUUAGGCUAUGUUUGUUUGCAAGGAUUAUACUUAUGAUAAGAUUAUUAAUUUCAAGUAUCUUGUUUGUUUUCAAAUUUAGACUUAGGAGAAAUUAUAAAAUGACUUAAUAGUAUUUAGAUUAUAAUUAUAAUCUCGAGAUUAUAAUCCUAGAAUUAAUAAUCUUGGGCUUAUAAUCCCAUAGAUUAUAAUUCCGGGAUUAUAAUCCUUGUAAACAAAUAUAGCCUUAAAGUAUCGAUCUCACGCUCUAAAAUUCAAUUACAACAUUAAUUAAAUUACUAAAAAUGGUCUUGCAUAUAUGUAAUAUGGGGAUUGAUAUUUUUAUUAGAAAAAAAAUGUUAUUUUUAUAAAGUCUUUUUUUUUAUAUUUUACAAUAAAUCAGUUCUACACGUAUAUUAUGAGAAAGAAUUCAUCAUUAUAUUAGAUGAUGAUAUUUCAUGAUGAAUAUAUCAGUUUUUCAAGAUUACUCUCUCCGUUCUUAAAUAUGUGACGUUUAAGAUUUUUGCACAUGAAUUAAGGAAGUUAUAACUCUUAAAAUUAUUCCAUUAAAAUUAUAAUGUAUUACCAAAAACACCCUUACAUAAAUAAAUGAAAAGUUAAACUGUAGCUGAUAAAGAUAAGAGAGAUAUAUUGUUAGAGGAUAGAGAAAAUAUAGGAAUUAAAAAGAGUACAAAUAAGAUAUUAGAAGAGAGAAAAAGUAGCUUUGAAAAAAUAGGAGAGAAUUAAAGAAAGUAUUAAAUGUUUAGAGGUAAUUAAGAAAAUAAUAUAAUCAAUUCUCCUAUAAAUCUUAGAACGUCAUAUAUAUUUAGGAACAAAAGAACUAUCCUAAAACAUCAAUUAUCAAGGAAUGGAAGGAGUAACAAGUAACAACUAUAUUCUUUUCUUUGACUUUCUAAGUUCAAACUUUGUGGCUAGCAUUUAGGGGAAAAUCUCUUGAAUGCAUCAGGUUGAUGUGGGGGUGCACCUUUAACAUCGUCCGAAGAGAGAAUUAGUCUCGAUUGAUGAGUAAAAUGGCACAAAAAUACCCUUAAUGUUUCAACAAAAAUAAAUAAAUUAAUUAAAUAACAAAUAUAUCCGCUACGUACUACUUCCUUCGCCUCAUAAUAUAUGAUGUUUUAGAGUUGGGUACAACCAUUAAAGAAAUAAUUGUAUAACAUUAAAUAUAGUAUCAUUUGUCUAUGGAAGUACCUUUUAUGUUGAUAAGGAGAGAGAAAGAGUUAAAAGCAUCUGGGUAUUGAAGGAGGAGUAAUAUCGGGGUAGUUUUGAAAAGAUUGUAAUUAAUACUAUUAGAUUUUCUAAAACAUCAAAUAAUUUGGGACAAAUAAAAUCACUUAAAACAUCAUAUAUUAUGGGACGGAGGGAGUACUAACUUGUUAAAUUUGUUUUGACACAUACAACUUGCAAAUUAAAUAAAGAGUUGAUAUUUUAAUAAGUGAAAAUAUUAGUUUCACAAGAUCUCUCUUACAUAAGAGUGGAUUCCACUCCCUAUUCUUGUGAGGAGGUCCUUGUGAAACUAACAUUUAUUUUUACAUGUGGAAAUAUCAAUUCUCAAUAAAUACUGAUAAAAUUUAUUUUCAAAAACAUUUUUACUUAUCAAUAAUCAACAAAAAUCUUAUCUAAUUUAAUGUUUUUAGUCGAUACAAUUAAAUGCACUAUGAAUCAGAUUUAUUAAUUUCACAAAUGCUUCCUAUUUGUUCUCCUAUAUAAAGAAGAACUAUUUUAAGGCAGAGAGAACCAACAAUAAGACUCUAUAUUCCAUAUAGUGAGGCGAGCUUAUCUACAAAACAAUGGCAUUUUCAAGGUUUCUUUUCUGCUACAUUUUCUUGAUUUUGUUCUCUAUUUCUUCUUAUCAUCAGUCGAAGGCAGCAGUUAAACGGAUUCCCGCCCUUUACGAGGUUGCUAUUUCUGAAAAAGAUUUCAUAUAUGGUAAGCUAACAGUAAAAUUUAGUAUGUUUGUCCAAAUGCACAACACCAAUUUUGGUGCGGUGCAUUUGAGCCCCAACAAUCGUGUUUGUAAGUCAAAUAAGUUCCUUCCCUCUCUCAAUUAUUCUAGUUUUUUAGAGAAAAAAUAGAAAAUAAUUAAUUUUUUCUCAUAAAUAUAUGUAAAACGUAAAAAAAAUCUUCUAAAACGACAAAAUACCCUUUGGUAUGCGAGGAUUUUUAUAAUAAUUAUUUUAUAUUAAUGAAUCUAAUUAGUUUAAAUGUGUGGUGCAGGGUGCGACCAUUGUCCGAGUGGAAAGUGUUGCCUUUGCUCCUUUUACCGGACUAGACCAGUAUGCAAUAUUUGCUGUGAUAGUGAUGCUACUACCGGCAACGUCACCACCACCACUUUGAACCAAAAUUAAUUUAGAUCUCAUAAAAAUGAAAUAAAGGAAAUUCUCCGAUAUAUUUAAAUUAAUUUAAGAGAUCUAUUGUCAACAAUGGUUGUAUACGGCUUCUCUAUAUUAUUCCAUGUUUCAAUUUGUUCUAAAAUUUAAGAUAUAUUUUUAUUUUAUUUCACAAAAUUUUUAUUAUUUGUUAUUACGUUUUUACUAUUAUAUCUUUUUUAUAAAUGAUGAUUAUGGUGAGGUAAAAAUGCAAUCAACACCCGUGGAAAAUUAAAUUAAAGGCAGGUCCACUUAUAAAAUGCCAAAACUGAAUUUGGAUAGUAUAUCUUUUCAUUAUCAUAUCUCAAGAAUGUUGUUGUUAAAAUAUUCAUCUCUUCAACUAUCAUCUGUCAAAUUGCAUACAGAUAAAACAGUUAAUCAAUUACUCCAAUAAAACAAAAAAAAAUGGCAUCUGGUGGUAGUUACCUGGACACCAUCAAUGACACAACGGUCACCAACAUCAAAUGGAUGCAUCACAAAUACAAAUAUGAUAGCUUCAAAUAUAUUCUUGCAAGUGUUUCCAAACAGAAAGGCUGCCGCAACAAGCUGUGAUGAGAGGAAGACAAGUACUUUGGUUGUUGCAAUUUCCACCAAAAGUAGCCACACAAUGGUAAUGAUAAUAAUUAAGAUCGCCGUGACAAGUUUGUUCAAUUGCUUUACAGCUGAUUUGGUAUCAUUUAAAGCAUGCGCCAGAGUUUUCCGACCGUUAUAAACCUUUACCUGCACAAAUAACAAGGAUUUGAAUGUUAAUUAAUGCACUUUUGCUCAGUGUUUCUUCUUAUUGUCACUGCAAUCAACCAUAGGGUGGUUUUCAAUUGUAAACUUUUCUACAAUACUAAGCAGAAAGGUUUUCUAGCUAGUUAUUUUUUAUAGCUAUAAAUAAAGUUUCUUGGUAAUCAUGCUAGACGCUUGAAUAAAAUCAAGCCUUCUUUAUGACGAGAAUGUUACCUAUCAUACCAUAGCCCUGCCAUAGGACUAGAAAAACUAUAUUUAGUAUAUCACUACUACAAAACAGUAAAUAGAUAACGCGGAAAAAACGUUGUGAUUUCAAUCAGAAAAACGUCGUCAUUAAAGGUGUCAUCUAUUUGACACCCUUACACAACGUUUUUAAAACGUUGUAGUUAGACACAUUAUACAACAUUUUUUAAGAAAAAAACGUUGUAAAUUUGUUUUUCAUAAAUUAGUAGAUGCUUAAAAACGUUGUAGAAGGUAUGAUUCCACAACGUUUUCUGGCUAAAAAUAUUGUAAUUUAAUAUAUCAGACAACGUUUAAGUACAUUUACACAACGUUUUUAAAAUGUUGUAGAUUAAAAAAAAAAAAAAAANNNNNNNNNNNNNNNNNNNNNNNNNNNNNNNNNNNNNNNNNNNNNNNNNNNNNNNNNNNNNNNNNNNNNNNNNNNNNNNNNNNNNNNNNNNNNNNNNNNNNNNNNNNNNNNNNNNNNNNNNNNNNNNNNNNNNNNNNNNNNNNNNNNNNNNNNNNNNNNNNNNNNNNNNNNNNNNNNNNNNNNNNNNNNNNNNNNNNNNNNNNNNNNNNNNNNNNNNNNNNNNNNNNNNNNNNNNNNNNNNNNNNNNNNNNNNNNNNNNNNNNNNNNNNNNNNNNNNNNNNNNNNNNNNNNNNNNNNNNNNNNNNNNNNNNNNNNNNNNNNNNNNNNNNNNNNNNNNNNNNNNNNNNNNNNNGUUUCUUUUUCUCAUGUUGUGCAAUGUUAAGAAUAUCCUCCUACAAAGCAUGAUUAGAAAACUUUAGAUGUUAGAAAGAUAGAUAUACAUUCACAAUAAGGGAUAUCUUUGCUCAACAACUAAAAUAAAAGGUAUUUUCAGUCAGUUGGCUUACACGUUGUCUAUGAAGUUGAGCUGCUUCAUCCUCAAAGUGUCUUUGCUCGCUCUGAAGCAAUUUCAAACUACUAUCUAAAACAGAAAUUUCUUCUUCCAGCUUGUUUUUCUUAGAUCUCAGAUUCUCAAGCUCUCCAACAUCCACAUCUGUAGAAAAGCAAUAGUAUGAGACAAAAAGACUUAUAAGAUAAUGAACUUUUUAGCAAAGAUUUAUAGGUACAAACUGCAUAAAAAAGACGCGAGUGAUUCCCUGAUGUCUUAACAGAUGGAACAAAGUAUUCUUUUUCUUUAACAUUUGAUAAUAAAGAAAGUAAAACUCAGAUCUUCAAGUGCAGGAUCCCAAGUAGUUGGAGAAAUUCAAAAUUUCCAAUGCAUUCAAAUAAGGUAACGCUAAGCUCGACUUAGAGCAAGAGGUCAAGAGGUUUAAACUAACUGCCCAAACAGGCCAAACCAGAUAAGUCACAAACUGGUAAAAGAUUGCCUAUGAACAAAUCAAAAUACAAAAAUUUGCAACAAAUGCAGUCAAGGCCCUAGCUUCCCAGAAGAAGUAACUGGCAAAGCAAAGCUUAUAAUAAACCAAGCACAAGCAAGAGGAUAAAAAAAAUUCCUAUUACCGUGUAAGUCAUAAGUUGGAAUGAACAACACUAAUAACAAUUGGGAAACUUAGUAGUAGACAUUCUUACUCAGCAGAAAAGAGGAUCAGUUUUGUAAAGAACUGUUUCAAGUCAUCCACUGAAUCAGGGACAGCUUCACCGGAGAUCUUUGCUAUAGCAUGACAUAUCUGACACACAGUAACAUAAGGUCAUGUUGCCAUUAUUUGAUCACGUGAAUCAUUACAAGUUACAGAAGUUAUACAUUAACGAGUCUUGAUAAUACUAUAUAUACUCAAUACACAUUCAUCAAGGAAAGCAAAGAUAAUAAUGACACUUCACAAGCCUCACAAAGGGCAUAUGUAUCGUCCAAAAUACCUGGCAUUGCGAAUCAAUAUGAAGUAAAGAAAAACAUCCCAUAAAAAUAAGAUGUAGCUAGGUGGUAAUUGUUGUAGUAGUGAAAAGAUCAUUUUGCAAAGAUAAUGGCUUCUGAUCAGGAUUCAAAAAACACUGAAGUAUUCACUAAUUUUACCAUCUAGUGUGAUUGAUGGUAGCCAAACAUCAAGGAACUGCGCUAUUAAUGGCUUAUGCCGCUUAGCAACACUGCAACUAUUUUGCCUACCAAGUUCCCUCACAGAAUUUGGGGUUCUCUCUCUCCCAUCACAUAUGUUUCAACACAAGAAUUGCAUAAGCAUGUUAAAUUCUAGGGAUACCAUAUCUUCUACCAAAUUCAGGGUAUUCAAACAAAUCCAAUGUCGUAUUCAGUAUGUGAAUUUGAGACGAAUUCGCUCUCAAAGCGCGAAUUUCUGCUCAGAGCAACACAGUGAGGCCCAAUUUAGGCGAAUUGUGACCUAGCUAAUGACACAUCGUACGCCCAAAUUUGGUAGGAAAACAGGCCCUUCAUUACUCUUAAUAUAUAUUCCCAGCAGACUAUUGUUCAUAUGACAAAAUUUACACAGAAUUACAUUUUCCCAAAGGUUAACCCAUGGGAUCCUUUUUUUUACAACAAAACAAAAAAAACAUAAGUAUGUAAAUUUGGUAUACUGGAGCUAAUCCAACAUUCUAUGAAUGUAAAUGAAACUUUAGUAAAGAACUCUGCUUCCAGGCGAAUGAAAACACACAACAGCUAGCAACACAAUAAGAAUAGAUCAUUAACUACUGAAAGAUAAAUUGAUGCUCACAUUUUUAUCAAGUUUAUUCUUUCUCUCCGCAAUCUUCUUUUCACAGUGUGCAAUUUCUUUCAAAUAUUUGGCCUGUUCUUUCUUCUUUUAAAAGAUCCAGUAAAAGAUUGAUUGGUUGUGGAUGGCCAUGGAGAAUAAAGAUCCGGUGAAGCCAUCAACUACAAUGUAUAUGAUCAACAAUAAAGUUCGUGGGAUACCCUGCAAAAACAGUAGAAUAAGAUCAUAAAUAAGAUACAGAAAAUUAAACACCCACUAGAAUAAUGCAAACAUGAAUAUUGAUCCAUAUCUAUGACGUGGUUCCACGUCAGUUAAUAAAAUAUACAUUACCCUGUUAUGUUUAUUUAAAGGGAAAGUUCACUCUUGACUAAUCAGGCCACUAACCAAAUUCUAUUUUUAAAAGAUAAAAUGGUGACAGAUACUAAGAUCUAAAAAAUAGGUGAAUAUUAUAUAUAACAGGGGAGGAAAACAUACCAACUAGGAGUUUCAUCAAAAAUAUUUCUCGAGUGUUGCCUAUCCCCACUAUCAAACAUGCAUGCAGAAAUCCUGCAUUGUCAGCCAACUUAGUGGCACCAUUAGAAUCGGUCAAAAUGUUCCCCAUCUGCAAAGAUUGUAACAUUAAUGGCAGAAAGAAACUAAAAAUAACAGCAAGUAAAGCAUCUAAUGUGAAGUGUGACAGAAAUUGCAAAUUCCAAAUGGGUGUUUAUCAUGGAAUUGUCGGCAUGUCGGCACUUCAGGUCUAACAACAUAAGAUCUUUUAGGCACAGGAAAUAAUAUUACAUAUAAAUGAACAAUUUUCCAACACACAAGUUUUUAUUUUAGAAAGCCGAUCAGUAAGGCUGUAACAUAUAAUUCAAGAUGUAUAGUGGCCAUUUUUUCAUGACGAUCUAAAGUGAAAGUGUUAGUCUGGUGAUGGACCAAACCACCCUUUCUUUCACCAAAGAUGUUCUCUAAGUUCACUUUUUUCAGGAAAGCUUGUAUUAGUGUUAUCAUUAUUCAUGUAAAAGAACCAAGUGCAGAAGAUAUUACCUUCACAUCUCUAUGGGCAUGAAGAUACACAACAGCUUCAAGAGGUUUAAAUAGCAUAAUAACCCUCAACAAAAAAAAAGAAACUACCUGAUUAUUAGCCCUAAAUAAUAUCCCUGAUUACUAUCUCCUAAUCAUAGGAUGAUAAUCAAGAAUAAAGGUAAACAAAUAAAAUCUACUUUGCAAAAUACGUCAGAAGGCAUAUUGAGCUGCUUAAAAUUAGUUCAAAAUUAUCUUUAAAAACAUACAAUAAGCAAUAUUAACAAACACUAAAGUUUAAAUCCACAAAUAACUUUCAUAGUUUUAUAACCAACCAAUCAUUUUGUCGUAAACUAUAAACAUUCAAAAGCUAUUAAAGUGUAUCAUAGUCAUAUCAUUCGGUCUAAUGAUAGCCUGUUGAAAACAACUCAAAACAAGAAAUUGAAAACUAUGGAGACAAUAGAAAUAACCAAAAAAAAACUCAAAAUACUAUGGGCAAUCAUAACUGCAUUCAAGAAAGAGCUUACCUCGAAUAUUAGACUCAAAUCCACAACUAGUCAAAUGUUUUGCGAGUUCAACUCCUAAAUUUUUUUGCCAGUUUGAUACAACUUUAGCCUCAGAUACAGGCCAUACCACUGCUGUCUCAGUUGUAAGAUCGACAUUGGCAGAUGAAAUACUCAUUUGACAUUUCAAUUUUCAAAUUACAGAACUUUCCUGCUAUUCUGUCAAAUUUUUCUCUCAGGAAACAAAUGGAGAAUAAUAAAUAUGCAAUGUCAUAUGUAAAAUACUCACUUGACUUUCAAAAAUUCUCUUCACACUCGCUACACAUCCCCCACAUGACAUCCCCUGAAAGGCAGAGAUCAGAAAUUGUUAGAGAAAGGCCAUACUAAUAAAUUAAAUUAAACACCAAAUUUGAUACAUAUACAUAUCAUAUAUGGAGAGAUUAAACACCAUAUCAUAUUAAAGUUAACAAUCCGGAUAAUAAUAAAACAGAGAUGCAUGGACACAAAUUUGAAUUGAUAGCAUAAGUGAUUUUCAGAAUGACCUGUGAAUUGAGAUUACGCAACUGCCAAACAGCUUGAGGAGAUCCAUCCAUGAAAACCAACGGACCAGAUAACCCUACUCUAAUAUCCACUCGGUUAAGUUCGAUUUCAGUCAAAUUUAAUACCUGAAAUCUGAUGGUCAGCAACUGGAAUCUUUACAAAAAAAUAUACAAAAGAUUAGCAAUUAAUUUAAAAUUCCCUUACAAAAGAUCUUAAGCAGCGGUAUAAGGGUUGCUGCAAAAUCAAAGAGUAACCGAUGAAGAAGAAGAAGAAGAAGAAGAGAAAAGACGAGAGAGAAAACGAUGGGCAAAACGCAUUUUGUGACAGUCGGUCGGUGAAGCACACAUUAAUCAGAUCUGAAGCAAAACCAGCUUCCAAAGACCAGAUUUCAACUGUCAAAACCCCUAAAGCCAGUAGAAUCAUCAAGAUCCGAGACCUCCAAAUCCGAAGCCCCAAGGAUUUCAACUGUCAAAACCCAUAAAAUCAGCAGAAUGAGGAGCCUCUCUCUCUAACUUUCGCUACUUGGAACCCUCGAGGAUGCACUCCCAGUCACCGAGUCACGUUUUUUUUAAUUUUAAGUUUUAGCUUGAGCUCGUUUUUUGCUCCGUGUUUUUUAAUUAGAUAACGUUUUUUUUAUAUAUAUCUAUAACGUUUUGUUAAAAAAUGUUAUAAAAAAAAAUACCACAACAAUUUAAGUAUUGUCUAUUUACUACUUUAUAGUAGUGUAUGCACAACUUGAUGGUCAUAGCAUAUGCACAAGGAACAUCACAAUUACGUCUUCAUAUGGUUGUCAAAAAGAUGUAAAUGACGUGUAUAAGUGGUAUUACACAACAAUAAUUAUAUCUAGAAAAAAAAUCUCAAUUUUAAAAUUCAGUGUUCUCAUCUCUUGUCCGAUUAAUAAUCAAAAGAAUAAACAUUCUAAACAAGUUAUACUAGCGUUGGUCAAUCUUAAUUUAAACCGAGAAUCCAGAAAAAAAUUUCAAAACCUAUUCAGGAACUACAAAAUUAAAUGAGAAAUUUCGACAACAAUUCUAUCAUCCGAGAAAAGGAAUAAAAGUUUUACCACCCACUCCGUCAAAACUUUCCUGUCUAUCUGUCCCAUCUCAGCAACAUCGAUCAGAGGAAACACGAGAUCGACCUCCUCCUUAAUCAUGAAUCUGCUUAGGUCUAAUUCAUCAAUGUACCUAUGCAUUUUAGAAUGGAAAAAUUAGAAUUUUUUUUUAUUUUUUUUUUAGGGGGGGGAGGGGGGGGGGAGGCAUAUAAGAAAUUUCGUUUAUCAAAAACAUCUCCAAGACAAAUAUUUCUCACUUGGAACCAGGUUGAGCCACAUUUCUGAAAAUGUGAUAGGCAGCGGCAAUUGCCUCCAUCUCAUUGGCUAUCUCCUUAUCAGUCUGUUCACCGUUCCCGUCAAAAUUACUUUCAUCUAGGGCAUUGGAUAUGAUGGAUAACCCUGAAUUAGAUAUCACAUCAACCAACAUCUUCAUUGUCCAAGCAGAAACUUUCUCUCGCUUCAGCUGAUGAAGCUUGUUUAUGUCAAUAACCGCCUUUUUAAUUUCUUCCUUCCCUUGCUUUCCUUUAAUCGUGCUCUGGAAACUAAAGUGAAUACUGCUAUUUGUUCUCCCAAGCAUCCCGGCAAACUCCAGAAGUGGAAGCCCUGAUAGGACUUGGAGAACAUACUGAUGGAAGAUUGAUUCCUGAACUCUAUCAAAGAAAUUGUUCACAUGGAAAGAUGAUGCUAACAUCUUAAGAAACAAAGUCUUAAAAAGCCACAAGAAUGAGCAAAUGAGCAGAGAAACAAUAGUCCAAGUUAUAUAAUGCAAAACCCGUGUGCCAGUGUCCGAUCGCUUGACCCCAUGAUUGAACAACAAAAGCCAGGUAAUAAGUAUCAGCGUCAACCAAAGACAGACCUGAGCACUUUUCUUUAAACUGUGAACGAAAUAUAACAUCUUCUUUCUCAACAAAAAGUUCAAUUCGAUCAACAAAACCACAAAAUGCAUAAACCAGUUUGUAAACAACAUACCAGAAAAAGUCACAAUUACAAGCAAACACCAUUUCCAAACCUCCAAACUCCAGAACGUUGUAUGCUUCAACGUAUCAAUGGUCAAGCACGCAAUCAAAUUCCCCAAAAUCAAUAGAAAGACUAACCACUCGAUCAAAGCCUUAAUUUUCACCCUUUUAUACUUCAAUUUAUUUUGAAUACUCACUUUUUUGUAAAUCUCUUCAUCCUCGUCCACUCCUCCUGGUGAUGCCAUAAACGACGUCCUUGGAGUAGUAAUCGACACACUCCUAAAUGUUUCUUUAAAUGAAGUAUGAGGGGAAGCCGCUCUACUAUUGGGUGAGGCCCAAGCAGACAUAUUUUUAAUAGAUGAAUUACUACCAGUUGAGUUUAUAUAAUCUUGCAUCAAUAGGCUACUUUCUUGGAAAAUAUUUGAAUCAACAGGAACAGGUUGUUCUCCAAAUCUUGACUUGGGUUUUGAGUACACUGACCUGGCAAGUGAUUUUCGUCGACUUAGAGUUUCGUUUGUGGGGAUUUUGGGAGGCCUGUUGGGGCUUGGACUGAACCUAGCAGUCUCAGGAGAAGGACACCUCAAUGGUGCAAACUGCACAGCUCCAAUGUGGGAAUCACCCGAAACUAGGUGGAGUGAACUCUUCUCAUCUUCUUCUUGACCAUAAAUCAUUACAACGACUUCACCGCUUUUAUUUCCCUCGGUCAUGCUAAUUUCCCCACUAUUUGAACUCAUAACAUUUGCAUCCAUUAAACCCUAGCAAAUUAAACAAAACAAAAAAUUGUAAAUUUAUUCAUUCAUCAUGCAAAUUAAAGCUAGAAGACAGGUAGAAAGAAUGAGCCUGAGCUCUCAAAUAUCCUAAAAACUGUGACAUUAUGGGGGAAAGUUAAUGAUUAAACUAAUUGGGACACGUGAGUAAGUUGAAAGUAACUUAUUUGCACCAUAUUACUAAAUCACAAAUUGAAUCAUCACUUGCUGGAAUUUUCUGGUUGGCCAUUAAUAUUAUAUUAUAUGGGACAUGAAUUAGGGCCCCCAAUGUUUAGAACCAACCCAUUUACCACCGCUAGGUCAUGAGUGAAGGUUCAUGAUUUAAAUUUUUAUUAAAUAUCCGCAACUAAUUUUUGUAAGAAGUUAAAAAAUACCCAAAAAUUCAGAUCACUUUUGUCUCUCUCUUAAAACAAAACUCUGUUUCUCCAAUCAAACUUCAAAAUUCAACGUCUUUUUCAUUACAAAUUCAAAAUUGUAAAUCUACAUAUCAGAGCUUUUAAACGACAAAAAAAGGUUAUUGAAUUUUAAAAUUUGAUUGAUAAAAAAGUAAGGAGGUUUGAAAUUAGCGUAUGUGUGGGACUUGUUCAUUUGAAAACAACCGGUUUCUCCAUUGCUCUGAUUUCAUGUCUUCGUUAUCUUAGGUAAUAUGAACCUCAGCGAGUCUGGGUUUCAUACUAGCACUGAUGAAACUCCAGUCUUCGGUAGUUACGGAUAAUUCAAACCAUCCGCAGCAACAUUCCUUAGCUGAUAGUUUCAUAAAAUUUUAAAUUUGAACCCUUUAUCAAACGGAGGGUAGACUUUAAACGGUGCCAGGCAGGACUGUCGCUGGCCCCCAUAUUAUAUAGUUCAUAUAUCCAAACACAAACAUUUCAUACACAAUAUCAGUGGGUAAAUAAAACAAAUCCAUUUAUAUAUAUAUAUAUAUAUAUAUAUAUGUAUAUAUAUAUAGGGUCAGGAUCAGGUCUAGAAAUCCGAACCUUAUUAAAAUGCGGACCAUUUUUUUUUUAAAACUAAAAAAACUCUACAAAUAACACCCAAAACACUGUAUUAUGGAAAAAUUUCAGUUCCAUAAAAUAUUAAACUUUUUUUUAGUUGUUUUUUUAAAAAAAAAAAAAAAAAUUGAUCCGCAUUUUAACAAGGUCCGGACUCCCGGACCUGAUCCUCACACUAUAUGGGUCAAGAUCAUGUCCGGAGUCUGGACCUUGUUNNNNNNNNNNNNNNNNNNNNNNNNNNNNNNNNNNNNNNNNNNNNNNNNNNNNNNNNNNNNNNNNNNNNNNNNNNNNNNNNNNNNNNNNNNNNNNNNNNNNNNNNNNNNNNNNNNNNNNNNNNNNNNNNNNNNNNNNNNNNNNNNNNNNNNNNNNNNNNNNNNNNNNNNNNNNNNNNNNNNNNNNNNNNNNNNNNNNNNNNNNNNNNNNNNNNNNNNNNNNNNNNNNNNNNNNNNNNNNNNNNNNNNNNNNNNNNNNNNNNNNNNNNNNNNNNNNNNNNNNNNNNNNNNNNNNNNNNNNNNNNNNNNNNNNNNNNNNNNNNNNNNNNNNNNNNNNNNNNNNNNNUAUAUAUAUAUAUAUAUAUAUAUAUAUAUAUAUAUAUAUAUCAGUUCUGUCUUUUUUUUUUGAGAACAAAGACUAGCUGGGUUUUGAGUAUUAUCAAAACUGCAAAAAAGAGUGCUUAGAUUCUUACCGGAAAAUAGUAGCCGAUAGAGCAAAACUGACUGGAAGGGCAGCAAUAGAACGGGGGGAAAGGUAUUUCUAUUGAGGAACACAGAUUGGGAGCUAGAGUUUUACAGAAAGGUUAAGCAAUCAGGUACCUAUGUUCUUGUUCAUAUUUAAGACGCCAAUUACUUAGAACUGGUAGACUACAUAGUACACCAUAAUAAGAAUUACUUACUACUAUAACUAGAAUUGGCAAUUUUGAACCCAACCCAUCAACCCCUCCAUUAAACCUAUGAUUUAAUGGGUAAAAUUAUUCAUUUACUUAAGUGGGUUGGAUUAAAUUCGUAAUAAUAAAUAAGGAAUGGUUAAAUGUUUCUACCCGCUUAAAACACAUAAAUCACAAACCUAAACAAUAGAUGUAUGGAACUGGAUGUACCACCACGGCGGACAAACUUUUUUGCGGAGAACAAGAAGAAGAGAUUGAAUCGAAUUUGUGGAGUUAAUCAGGGUCCUCGUUGAAAUAAUGCAGACUCCAUUAAAGAUGCAGAGAUAAGCUUCGAUUGUAGUGAGAACCAAAAUUCAAUUCCCACCCUCUCCCACUCUCUCUCUCUCGAUAUAUAUAUAUAUAUAUAUAUAUAUACGGUCCGAAUCAAGAGUAUACCCUUAUCUAGC
rnacentral:lncRNA from 1 species